rnacentral:lncRNA from 1 species
UAUAAAAUAAGUUUAAUUUAAAAUAUAAUAAUAUGAUAAAUUAAAGACAAAUUAAUCUAAGAUUUUAAUAUGUUUUAAAUAAUAUCUAAUGGCUAUUUUAAUAUUGAAAUAAUUUUAGAUACCAUAAACAUUCAAAUAAUAAUAAUAAUAAUAAUAAUAAUAAUAAAACAAUCAUAAAAAGUGUCAGCAUGUUUUGAAAAAUUCAAAACACGCAUUGAACGCAAUGAUGCAGGUUGAGCACGUCCAUUUCUCAAGGGAAUAGACUUCGACAAAUUGAAAUUAGUCUAUUCAUUUUCAAAACUGAAUAAAACUCAAGCGCAAGAGAAAUGUUGAACAGAGAAAAAUUAGUAAAGUAAAAACGACACAAUUAACUUUAUUACACUCAAACUCAACAAUUGAAUAAGCUUGAAAACGAAGAUAUGAAGCUUGCCAAUUUGUGUUGCUUGGCAUCUAGGUUGCAAAUAUUCAAAAAAAAAAAAAAAUUUUUGAAAUAUUUGCAAAUGGAUUCUUUAUUGAAACUGAUUCAUUAAUCUUCAUUUACCAUUUUAUAUAGAUGUAUCCUUUUUAUCAUGGUCUGCCUGUAUAAAGAAAAAGCAAAAGGAAGACUUUUCACAUUUGUUUUAUGAUCAAAGGCAAUCGGAAAACCUUGUCAGGUUAUCAAUUGUAAACAACUUCUCCAGCAGGUCAUGAGCUAACCAGAUGUGAAUAUCAGGAAAGAGAAGAAAUGACCUGGUUUGCUCAUCUCUUUAAUUUAUGAUAAACCAGUAACUGACCACUUUCAUCUGCCACUGCCACCACACCUGACCCUGAAUCAUCCGCAGCAAUGCACGAAACGCUUCCGCCUAACAACACAGGAAAAGGAGUUUAUAAUGGAAAUAAUCAAAAAUUUCCAACCAAAUAACUGAUGUUUCAUCUUUCUUGAUGUUGGACACUGUUGAAAGGAAGGUAUUAACGCAUUUGGAUAUGUUUAUAGCUAGCCACCCAUAUUUCUAAAAUAUAGAUGUACAUGUCAAGAAGGCCAGUAAUUUUAAUAGAUUAAUGUAACAUACAUAUUUGGCGUUCAAAAGAAGUGGUCUGACAUCAAACCAGAUGAAAAACAUAGCGCGCAUGCAGGAAGGAUAUCUCAGAAUUUCCUUUUAGAUAAUAUAGUAGGCUAUAGGAACCUUAAUUGCCAAAACUGAAGUAUACCUUUGAAUUUAUGCAGAGUGCCAAGUUUGUCUCCUGUCAAUAAUUCCCACAUAUACACAAGUCCAUCAAGUGUACCAAUGAUUCCAUGACCAGCUGAUGUACCAAUGGCAGAAACCCUGCAAGAGAUUUCCAAAGUCAAACUUAUGGCAUCUCUCGAGUUGAUUGUAGUUCAGAUGCAUGAAAGAACUUUUGUAGAUUCAGCCAUAAGCACGUAAAUCUAUUUCUUUUGGCACUAAUUGCUUUUACCAUCAAAUCCACAGCCAGUGAUGCAUUGUACAAUAUGCUUCUCGUUUCUUUGAAUUUGUCAAACUAAUUUCGUGAAAAUGCAGAGGGAUCAGAUUUAUAGUCCAAAAUGAGGUCGUCAUACUUCAAACUAAAUUUGUUUCCAUCAACUUAUAUCCAAAGCAGAAGUUAAUUAGAGAAAAAAAUUUGCAAUCUUUGGACAGAAUCACUCAAUUUAAUAUUAGGAAAUAAAUUUUUGUGCACCUUGUAUCUAAUGCACUUCCCAAGAUUAUUGUAUUUUUCACCAAUAGAGCUAGCCUCCACCAUCCAAUUGGAUUUAUCUGGGAAGCACUUGAUUCAUACUUAUGCUGAGCAUCAGUGUUGAGGGCAGUUGAGACAAGACACCAGAUGGCAACAUCUUCCCCCUUUAAAGGAGGAAAGGAAUGGUUCUUGCUGUGUUCUGAAAACUGAACUUUUGUUGCAUCAAUGAGUCUAUUUAUGUGAGCUGCAACAUUAGGGUAAUUGGAAGCAUGGACUUCUCUUUGCCAACUAAACCAACUGAUAGGACAGAAUUGACAAACUGAAGUGCCUGGAGUAGAGAAUCUUGAGACAAAGAUACGUCUUGAAAUAUCCCUGAAAGUACAAAAUUAGUAAUCAGCUACUUAUGAAAUUGAUGCAAACGUAAAAGAUAUUACCCUGCAGUUAUUCCAUGAGGAAGAACAGUGAAAAGGAAAAAGUAAAAUAUCGGAUUGGAGUGCGAGGAUGGGGACCAAAACAAAGUGCAAUGCUGCACAACAAAUAGGGUCAUUAAUUGCAGAAGUCAUAACUUCCAAUUGAUGAAAGAAGACAUCAUGUAAGCAGCAUACCAUAAAGUGAAUUCCCCAAAGCCAUUAUGCCCAAUAACUAGAGAAGCACAUUCCGGAAUUCUCUUCAACUCCAUAAUGCAAGGAGAUAUGUAAUCGUUAGAUGUUAUGGUGAACUCUUCUGUUGGAGCACUGCAAAUUGUGAAAACAGAAAAAUAAUAAAUUUCUUCAUAAGGAGUAGAUGGCCACAACAGAAAGAAAUAUUAGGUUUAGCAAAGAUGAAACAAGUACAUUACAUCAUAUAUAUAAAAAGCCUAGUAAAAUCAUAUACAUCUUCAUUAAAUAACAGCUAACCUUAAUGAAACAAUGAUUGCAUAAAACUCAUAAGCUAUUACUGUGAAAAAUAUGAUGAGCUCAGGAAGAGAAAAAAAAAUAUUGGAUUCUUCAACGCUUCCUCAGACAGGGACCAUAUAGUAAAGCUCAAAAAAAAAAAAAAAGCAACGGAGGCCAAGGGUCAAAAUGUUGGAGUGAUUGAAGAAAGAAGCAAAAGUGAGCAUGAGGAAGCUGUUUCCAGUAUGACUUGAGUACAUACAAUUGCAGAUUUAUUGCACUUACAAUUUAAAAUCAUAAGGGCACUAAGCCCAUGAGUUAACAGUAAUAAAAAGAAAAAGCUUAAACUAAAAUAUUUGGGAAUACCAAUAAACAAAACAAGGCCAUGACAACAUUCAAAGAACUGAAGUAAAAUCAGGUUUUGCAUUCUCUUAAUAAAUUCACCUCCAUGUUGAAUUCAUGGUCCACAAAUUUAGUCCCCUACUCUCUCCAGCAGCAAUGAUAUGGUCAGGUUCACACACCAAUAUGCAUUGCAAACUGUCAGUUGUUCUCAAUUUUAGUAGGACUGAAACAUAUCCAUCUUGUACUUGUACAAUCUUCACUGUACUGUUCUCAUUGCAGUCUGUUGUACAUGUUGAGCAUAGACAAUCUAUUCUUCCUUCCCUGGAUUCAUAUAUAGCAUGUUACUACUCAGAAAUUUACUCUUCGGGAGAUUUAAUUUUGAGUAACACAAAGACAGAAGUAAACUACCUGCAAUAGGGUGUCCUUGUGUUGCCAAGUAAAACAAGACAUUUUCCAUCUGGUGUCAGUUGCAAACCAGAUCUUUCAAAUGCAAUCUAGUAAGGAUUAAUACAGUUGAGAAAUUUUGACAAUAAGUGGCAGCACAUCAACCAAAGAAGUCAAUAAAUAUAAUGACAGAAAUGAUUUAAUAUCUUACUUCUCUACCAAAAAUAUCUGUUGAAGAUGGCCAGGCUACUGACGUGUGACCUACAAAAUAUGGGCAUCCUAUUUUUGGCUCUUCAACUGCUAACUUGUAAAGAAACAGAGUUCUGUUCUUAUCUACCGGAAGGCCACACACAGCACAAAUAUAGAUUUCAUUCCCUUUUCUGCUCAGCAACAGUAACAGAACAGGCAUGGGGUGGAAGUAGCAUCCCAGAAACUCAACAGCAUCCUCCAAUUCAUUGUUAAGCUCCAAAUUCCUCUGUUUCUUCAGUUCUGAACUGCCUUGAACUUCCUUAGAAAUGAGUGUCUUAUUGUGACAGAAUAAUGUUCCUUGUUUCUCAGAUCCAGGAUUAUUAGCAUCUGAAGUAGUUUCAUCCCCAACCAGCCCCACUUUAAAAUGUGGUUUGGGUUUUUCUGUAGAUCGAACAAAAAGAUUUGAUGUAUUCUGGCCUUCUGAAGGGCAGUCAGAUUUUUGAGUUUGUGAUAUCAAAUGUGCAUGGCUAUCAAACACAGGGUUGGAUGUUAUAGUAGUUUUGUCUGUAUGCAAAUCAUGGAACUGCUCUCCAACCCUCGUAUCAGCACUUAACAAUUCCUUUUUAUGUAGUCUGUCGACAGAAAAGCUCGUAUAGGACGGCUCUGAUUGAAGCAAAGCUCCUGUAGUUUCUGGGAUAUAACCAUCUACAAAUUUUCCACAUCCAACACUUUCUAAAAGUGAAGGACUAUGUUUUCUUACCAUAGGGUCUGUAUUUGGGACUUUUUUUCUGGUAUAUACCUUUUUUGGUUGACUAAUGGAUAUAUUGCCGAUUCCAGAAGCCCCAGUAUUAGUAACAGUAUCCUUCCUUAAUAAGUGCACAGAACUUCCCAAGGCUCCGGCACUAGCAUCACUUGUACCUACAGCUAAAAGAAUUAAUUGGCUUAGUUGAAAUCUGGGAUCAAAAAUCUUAGAAAGCAUAAAUUUAUAGAGUUUAAAAUCAUUCAAUCGGUUCAUAUACCGAUUUAGACAAAACUACAUUGCACUAACUACAGAUCUGGAAUGUCAGGCAAUUGGAAAGGUACUACUGGGUUCCCGAGAUAUAUUAUUAAUGAAAAAAAUAAUAAUAAUAUGGAACUACACUUCUUUCAGGAGACAGAAGGUUAAAAAUAUCAAUUUUAGUUACGAACAUGUUCUAAUUGUGUGACAAAGAAAUGCAGAAUUUAUUGUCAAGGAUUCCAUAAUUAAUACCUUCAUUACAAUGAGAUGCAGCUUUGAAGUCGUCAGAAUGGAUCUCACCACCUAAUGAAUUUUCAACCAGAUUUUUGCAAACAUCCUGGUUUACUUCAGAGGGAACUUUCUUGCAGAUAGACAUGCAACCUAAAAUAGACUCAGAGAAUUGUAGAUCACCGUCCUGGGACCUUUUACUCAAAUUCAUUUGCAUUUUAUCAUCAUGUAAUAUAUCUCUACCCCCUCUAGUCUCAACAUGAGAAACCCAUGACUCCUUUACAUUGAUGUUAAUGAGCUGUUUCUCAAUCUCGGGAUGAUAUGCAUCUUUACCAAAACUAGGUUGAUCAGCUUCCACAUUAUUGGAAGGUAAUAUUAGUUGGUCCAUUAUAUGAUCCUCCCGUUGUUCGUCAUCUAAGGUGUCAAGAACAUUAGACUUGGUAAAUUCAGAACUUUUUAGGACAGAGUGAUCUACACCAGCAAAUUGAGCCUCCACAAAGAAGCCAGUUUCAUUAUUUUCUUCAUGAAGUGCAGGUAUAGAAGGCAAAUUUUCUGGGGGGCUAACUAUUCUCUUUUUCUUGCUUGAGGUUUUCUUGAGCAGAGGAAUAGCUUGUGGAAGUAGAACUGUCAUCAUUGACUUGGCAAUAUCUUGUCCAACUGAAUCGAAAUCGCUCCUUUCAGAACUCAAAUGUGAACUGGAUGUGCCCAUUUCUUCCUUUGGGUAUGGUUUAUUCGCCAAUUCUUCAGAAUCAGCCACUUCGGUUGCCAUUAUCUCUUCCUUAAUGACACGAGUAAAUUUAUCGCAAGAUCUAGGACCAGAAUUGGCAGUAUCUGCAUCAAAGUAGUGUCAGACACAGAAGAAAGGAGGUUUAUCAAAUGAAUUAUAUUAUCAAGAUGCAAAAUGAGAGCUCAGGAAAUUGCAUUUGAGCAACUUAGCACAAAAGUGGGAAGGUUGAGGAACACCUUGCACAAAGUCUAGUGUGUCAGGAGCCCAUAGAUCAAUAUCAUGGACGCUUGGAGAUUCUUCUGGACAUAGUGCACCUAAAGCUUUGAUCUCCAUUGAUGCUGGAAAAUUGAACCCUUCCAAUUCACUUUCUCGCACCCUAUCAAGCUGUGAGACAUUAAGAAUAUUUCUCAUAGAAACACCAAUUGAGUCUGAGAGCAUGAUUUUUCUGACAACUGAGAGAAAUAAUAAUUUGUUGAAUAGGCAUGCAAAAGAAUGCCCUUGACUUUGAUGCGAACUAUAACUCAUAUGUAGGAAGAAAAGAAUGUGAGCACAGCUCACAAAUAACAAGAUAUCAACGUCUCAACCAAUUCAAAGCUUUUAGACAAAAAAGUUCAGAGGUAAUAGAGGGUUUGUACUUACAGGAUUUUCUUCUGCACUAAAUUUUUGGACUACAGUGGAUUUAUUAUCUUCAGAACUAGCAAGCUUGCUUUCUUCAUAGACAGGGACAGUUUUCUCCCCAAGAUGAUCAGAAUAGUCAACAGACUUCGAGGACAGACCAUCUUUGGCUAAGUGACUAUUUUCUCCUCCAGUUGCAUAAUCUGAUUGCACUCCUGUAGAUGAUGCUCCUAGAAGUCUACAAGAGUCAUCCUUCAGAUGAAAACUACAAGUAGAGGGAGAUGAGGAACUGCCUUGCUUAGGAUUCCCAUUUAUUGAAUUUGAUGGCUCAACAAUGCAUUUCAGGUUUCCAGCACGCAGUCUUUUAAGACCAUCAAUACCUAAAGACUUGGGAUCUAUAAUUUUAAACCUCUUACUUCUUUUCCCCGUAACUUGUGGUCUUGACAAAUACGGUAACAGGUCAGAACAAGUGUGUGAAUCCUGACAUUGAUUAUUAUGCUCCAUAUUGGAAGCCCCAUUGCAGGUCCCAGAAGGUAACAAACUGUGUUCUGCUACUCCAUUGACAUUUGCCACCAGUUCCCGAAGUAACCUUUGCACAAAUGGAUUUCUGAACCCAAAGAACUGCAAUCUCAGGCAUAACAAAAAUAAAUAAAUAAUAACUUAGCAAAAGUAUCCCGGUCCUUUUAGUUACAAUGUUAGACUUUUGGAACUGGUGAUUUUGGAAAUAAAUACAGAACAAAAACGAAAUGUGCAUCCUGCUUGCAAGCAGGCCAAGCUGUUAAAAAUGCACGCAAAGCCAAGAUCAUCAGUUACUCCAUUCCUUAACAUAAAAGACUCAAAUUGAACACUUAACAUGGGCAUGGUUUCUUGGUUUUCACAGUCCAAACAUAAUAAAGAUUACAAGAAAAAAUAUGCACAUCCAAUACCCACAACAACAUAGACAUGAAGAAUCAAGAAGGUACAACUAAAUAAUCAAUAUAAGCAUUUAUCACAAAGGUUGCAAAUAACAGAAUACCAUGAAUCCAGAAGUGCAGAAUACUCAAAACAUUACUUGCACACAUUUAGUUCAAUAAUUCAAUAACAUGGUUACAUAAGUCUGAUCGUUAUGAUUUUCAAUAUCGCAUUCACAUUCAUAUAUAUACAUAUAUAUACACACACAUUCAAAUGUCACAAACUCAAGCAAUAGAGGAGCAAUAUGACAAAUUUUAAAGCUUGCAGUUAACCUUAGAUGAAUUCAAACUUUACAAUGAAAUAAAUGAAACAUAAUUUUCACAUAAGAAUUACAUAAUUCAGCUCCACAAAAUAAAUCUGACCAGCUUAAAAAUGAAAUUUUGUUGCUUUUGUUCAAAAUUCGCUGUUUGAAACAGAAAAUAAGUCAAUCGACAUAAUUAUUCCCAGGCAUAUGAGAUAUGAUAUGAUUUGAUCUAGCAACAAUAUUCCUCAAAACAAGGAAGAAUUUUGUCAGUAACUCAUGUUUCUCUCGCACUCAAGAUAAUAAAAGCAAGAUAUGAAAUUUACACUUUAAGAACAUAACGAGGAUUUGAUUAUAUCACUAGAAGCCUCUUGUUAACACCAUCACUUGAUACAAGAAAUGAUCAGCCAUUAUUUUCACUUCAGUGAACAUUAAUACUUCACAGUGCAUAAUUAACAGAUUCAAACAGAUAUUGAUAGAAUAACCAAAACAACAACAGAGGAAAACUAAAGUCAUACAGAGAUCAUCAAGAUAUAACUCUUUGUAAACCUUUAAGAGUAUGUGAAAGCCAAGUUUUAUCCCAGUUUUUAAAAACUAAUUGUACAUAUGGGGAUAUGAGAAAGGGACUGACAUAAUUACAAUUUUAUUUGUAUGAAAUGCAACUUGAAACUUAAAGCUUUUUGUCAAAGUUUCUAAGAUGUACCUCUAUACCAUCUAUCUUGCACAAAAAUCUUUUGCCGUGCCAGAUCUUCAUUCGUGGGCAACCUUUCUUCUGAAAUUUGUCCCAAGCAAUGUCUGCUGUUUGCCCAGAACACAAGUGUCCAUCAGCAGAAGUAAUCUGAAAAAAAUGGUAAUGCAUCUUUUUAGAUUUGCAUGAAACUAAUCAGCAUUAGUUGGAUAGCCACAGGGUCUGGGUACAAACCACAAACAAAGGCCCUUUAUGACCUUCCUGAAUUUCCAUCUUAUAAGUGCCCCCAUUAUAAGCUCGGCGAGCUUGAUAUCCCACUGGAUAAGGAUAGCGAUCUUUACCCUAAAAAAGUAUAAAUUGUGUCAACUGAAAGCAUGAAAAAAUAAGAUGCAGGCACACAGAAUUUGCAACAGCCAACGACCAGCCAGGGAAGUCUAUGUUUGUUGAUUUAAUUAGCUAUUCUUGUUCACAGGAAACAUUCAGCUGUAAUCAAAAUUAAUUCUGCAGCCAUCAUCAAUUUAGCUGUUGUUUUACAUGGGAAAUUCAAUUUUGGCAUGGGACCCUUUGUAGGUACAUCUCUUUUUUUUUUUUUUUUUUUUUUGGAGUUGUGAAACUGGACAUUAAGUAUUUGAUUUUUCAUGUCGGAUGGGUUACUUCUCUCUCUUAUUUACACAUUUACUCUAUUUCUGGUUUCCACCUUGCAACAAGACUACACCAGUUACUACAGCAGCAGAAUAGCCCACAGUAUCUACCUUUUCUGGCAUGUUUCACUUCUAAGGUCACAAUACUCACUGCUUAGUCAUUGCAAACCGCACGUAUUUUCCUGGCCUUUGUCACCAGAAUCAGAUUGACCUAUUAAAAUUUGCCUUUCAAACCCUAACCUUUUUGCAGUCAGAAUAUUCCAGCAACUAGAUUCCUCAUAUCUGAUCCUCCUUCCUUCUGCCCUUGCAUCUCACCCGCAUCAGAUCACAUUUAAAGAACAAACUCUAAACCCUAGACACUAACCCAUCAAAGCAGCAAAAAUAGAUAGAUUGUUCUCAGUUGUUACCAAUUAAUUUGACAGAUGAACAAGACAAUAAUUAAAGAAAGAAGUUACAAUAAUGAAACCUUGUCAAUGUUAAGUGAAUGAAUGACUAUAAUCAAAAGUCUCUUACACAUAAAAGAUCAUUCCAAACAACUAAAUCCUAACCCAAAUUGUUCCUAUGAUCAGUUGAAAAUCAAACAAAACUUGUAGAAAUGCAGCAAUUACCGACCGAUUAGGCAAAAUAUAGUACUAUUGUCCUGGAAAGACUCUCCAAUCAUUUUACGUCCUCUGUUUGACCAAUCUAGAUCAGGUUUCAACUGCCCAACUACAAAAUUUUCGUGAAACGUAUUAUUAAGUCUCCUCCUCUUCUUCCUAUUUGCCUGGUUUCUAUUGCACCUAGCAUGAAAAGGUUACUUGAUUUGCUCAUCUAAAUUGGCCCAAUUUUUUACCAAAUAACAAUUUGUGUCAAAAUUCAUAUCCAAUCAGCAUUGCUCACACUUUUAGAUGCACUAAUUUCCUAUCCUCUUUGUUCAUUCAAUUUCACCGCAAAAUCUGCGUCUCCUUGGCAAAAUUCAAAUAGUUCGGAAUUGCAAAUUAAAAAAAAUCAGAUCCAAAAAUAUGAGGAGGAGAAUAUCAAACCAAGUGUAGAAGUUCAUAAAUAAUGAAAGAUAUUUGAGGAUUGACGAAAGGGGAAAACAAACCCUAGAGGAGCUCCAAUACUUCUUGUCCCAGGGUCCACUGUAUAGAGAUCCAACAGAAAUUAUUUCAAGGCCGUCUGGCUUCUCUUCUUCUUUUUCUUCUUCUUCUUCUUUAGGUUUCGCCAUUGGAAGAAAAUUGAAGCCCUGGAUUUUCAAUGAACGGUGAUUGUUAAUAUCCGUAGCAGAAACAAAGAACGAGAGACAGACGGAGGGAGGACUUUAAAUGGCGGGAAUGAGCACUGAAAGUCUCAAAUUCCCUCCACGGUUGAAUAAAUGAUAUUUGAAACUAUUACGAGUAAAAUUUUUAUGCUAAUUUUCAAAAAAAAAAAAAUACAGAAAUAGGAUUUUUUUUUUUUUUUUUCCUUAAGAUAAACAAAUUUGCUUAGUAAGUUCAAUUUCUGACAUUAUAAAUAAUAUAAAUAUAUUAAUUUUUCAAUUUUAAAUUUAAUACAAUAUGUCAAUGACAUGUAUCUUACCAUCAUUAGUUAAUAAUGAAAGAUUUAUUUAUUUUGAAAAGCAUGUAUAAUUAUGUUAAUUAUAAUAAAAAUUAAUAGUAAUAGAAGCAGAAAUUGAGGCAAUUAUUUAAAAAAUCUAAUAAUUCCAGUUACCCUUAGAACCCAUUUUAGCAAGUCAAUAUAUAUAAGCCAGGUUGUACAAAUAUGGACACAAUGCAAACACGAAUGUGGACAUGAAAUAUGGUAAUUUUUAAAAUAGUAGAAUACCGAUACGUUUAGAAUGUAUUAUAUUAAAUAAGUAUAAUUUAUUAAUAAUUUAAAUAAUUAAAUAAUUAUUUCCAAUAAAUAAUAAAAAAUACUACUUAAAUCUUAUUUCGAAAUAAUUAAUUAAAUUUAUAGAUUAAUAUCAUUAUUGAAGAUCAUAUCAUCUCAUUUAGAGAUAAAAUUGAAAAUUUCAAGAAUCAAACAUUUUUAGAAGAUAUUAAAUUAAUCUCUACGAUAUUUGAUAUUUAUUUUGUUUAAUACAAUAUUGUCGACUAUUUUUUUUUAUAUAUAUAUAAAAGCUUUGUGAAUUUCUAUUUUUAAAUUAUGAAUUAAUUCAUAAAUUUGAUAAUAAUAGAUACAUAAUAAAUUACAAAAUGUAUAUUAUAAGAUAGAGUUUGUCUAUUUUUUAUUUUUUUUAAUUUUAUAUUUGAAGUAUUAAUAAUUACAAAUGUAUAUUUAAGAUAACAAUUUUAAAAUUUUUAUUAAGGAAUUUAUCUAAAAUUUUAAUAAAAUUUUAAAAUAUAUCUGUAAAAUUCUACAAAAUGUCUUAGAUAUGUCUUUAAAGUUUUCUCAAACUAACAAAAUAAAAUAAAUAAUAUAAAAUAUCUUUUAAAGGAGUAUCCAAAUAGUGUCGGCAUCCAACAUAAAAUCUCCACAGAGUAUACAAGACUUAUACUCAAGAAACCAAUGAUGAAUUUCUACCUCCGAAUCUUGAGAGAGGAAUCGUUUAAUAUUCCAAAUCAAAGAGUCAAAUUUCAGAUUAAAAAAAAUAAAAAUGGAAGUUGCCAUCUCACAAUCUCUUAUCAGGUAUUAUUUUGACCACGAGUUAAAAGUUUAAAGUCAAGUAAAUUUCAAAAACUAUUAUUCUAAGCACAACGUUAAAAAUUAAAAGUUUUAAUCGAUUAUAAAUAUUUAUUUUAGAGUUAAUUAUACUUGUGAUUUCUGAAUAUUUUAUUUUUUUAUUUAAUGUUUUAAGAGAAAAAUUUUAUAAUUGAAUGUCUAUACUAUAAAAAAAUUGCAAUCAAGUAUAUUUACCAAAUUAUUUUUUGAAACAAAUAAAAUAAACUAUUUUACUUAAUAAAUGAUAUCAAACAUAAACAUCUAUUAUAUAUAUUUCUCUUUUUUAUUUUUCUUUAUUUUUUUAUUGGAUUAUAUCUCCUUUCUAAAAAACCCUAAAAAAUUUCUUCUACUUUUAUUUCAUUUUUAAAUAUAUAAAAGAACAUAGAAUAAUUAAAAAAAGAAAUAUCAUAGUAUAAAAAUAAAUUAAAAUAAUCGGACAAAAUAGUUUAUUUUGAUUUUUCAGUGAGAAAUUCUAAUUAAGUGUACUUAAUUAUACGAAAUUAGUUUGUUAGACAACAAUUAUUUUUUCAAUUCAGACUAAAAUAUAAAAAUUAAAAAAUCCAAUCACUGCAAUUCUACAAAAUAUAAUUAACCCUUUAUUUUUACUAUUAUAUAUAUAUAUACGGUAUGUAAAAUAUAUUUAUAAUAUGUUGUUGCUUAUAUAUAUUAUUUUGUCUACUUGGGCAAUGAAGGUUCAUCCUCGCAUCGCAGCCAUUCCAGCCCUUUUAGUCCCAUGAAGGCCUCUCAAGCCCAUUUCUACCGAUUCUCCGAAUUUUAGCACAAGUAAAAUUACUUAUUUUAGCAGCUAUUAAUUAUUUUAAUAUGGUUUACCUGUUAGUUAUUUUAGUAACUUUUUAUUUAAUUUUUAUAAAAUAUUAUUUUAACUUUUAAAAGCGAGUUCAGACAAUAUAUCACCGAACAUUACAAAAAAUAAAAACUCUAAAAAUUAUUUUAAAAGUUAUUAUCAAACACAAUUUUAUUCUUUUUAUUAUUAUUUUUGGCAUGAAUCCACACAAAAAUAAAUAAUUGCAACCUAAUGGUAAAAUUAAUACAAUAAAUUAAAUGCCUAACCUAACUUUACCUAUCAAAAACGCUUCAAACAAUGGAGAAACAUAACAAACAAAAAGCCAAAAUAUGUAUUUGUAAGCGUGGUUGCACUUCAUACAGCAUUUAGCAUUUUAAUUUUAAUUUAAUCAAAAUAUUAUUUUUAUUAUUUCAUAUUUAUAGUAUUCAAGAACGUAGUGUUUAUACUAAUAUUUAGAAUUUGAGAGAGUUGAUUAUGAAAUGUUACUCUCUUUAGUGUUUGAUAAAAUAUAAUUAAAAUAGCUGAUAGCUAACAAUUAUUAAAAUAACUAAUUUUGUGAAACAAGUCAAUGAUUAUAGUAUUAUUGAAUAAUAGUAUUAUCAAGGUACAGUCGGACUCUAAUAUUUAGAGAAUUAAAGAAAAUUUUUAAAAGUUAAGAGGCUAAAUAAAAAAUAUUUUAUAAAGUAAUCCUCCAUUUCUUCGAGUUGAAAGUUACUUAAAGAGAGAAAAACUAUCUUAAAAACAAAAUUAUGCUAGGAAUUAGGUAAAUAAGCACCCAAUUAAGAUUAUGAAACACCAGCAAAGGUUUGUUGAAGAAAAGCAAACAAAUGAAAACAGUUUUGAGAUAAAAGAAAUGAAAAAAGAAAAGAAAUGAAAAGGGGGAGAGAGAGAUAUCAAUAUCAUAAAGAUGGAGAUGUCUAAUCAGAAUUUCCAAAAGGGCUAAGAAAGAGGGUGAAGAUAGAUCCAAUGAUUGUGUUCAAAUCCGUUAAUGAACAGAACUUUCCUUAAAGCAAAUGCAUUUAUAUGUAUUCAUAAGAAUCUCAUGGCAUCCAACACAUGUCCUAUAUAUCCACAAAAAAUUUUUUUUUAAAAUAUUUAAUAAAAACAAAUUAAAUUUUAAUUUUUAAAGCAAUAAUUAAAGAAACUAUAUACAUCGGACUAAGAAAAGACCUUGAGGGUAAUAGUGACCUAGGGAAAGUCGAUUUAUACAAGCACAGAAAGUUGUGAAUACCAAGUGCUAAUGUAGCUUUGUUUCUAUAUUUGGUAACUGAGGAAUAGUCCCAUCACAAUAACACACAAAACCCAUCUUCUUCUUCUCCUUCUUCUGCUUCUUCUUCUUCCUUCUUCCUUCUUCCUUCUUCUUCUUCUUCUUCUUCUUCUUCUAAGUUCAUUUACUAGAGCUAUAUAGGUAGCUAAGUAUGUGACAGUGACUUGUGCUUAUAGCUUAUGUCUCUUUCAUUUUACCUUCUUUAGCAUUGCACCCACAAAAGACGGAAUGCAUGGACAGGUUGCCCUCUCUUCACUAUCUUUUCAUUCAUUCAACUUCACUUUGGCCCACUUUAACCUUUCUUUCAACUAUCAACUAUCUUUUCACUUCGACCCUAAUUUUUCUUCUUUUCAUAUUUCUGUCAAUAAUGCCAUCCUCAAAUUGCUAGAGAUUAGCUUAGCUUAAGCAGAAAGUGGGUAUACUUCUUAUCAGGAGGUUUAAUUUUUAGUAUCAUAUUAGGUAUAUCUUAAUUCCUUUUUUUUUUUUUUAGAGAUGUUUGACUUUAAUCAUAUUUAUUAAAGAAAUAAAUUUAAUUCGAUAAAUUUGAUAGUAUAAAAUAAAUUCACGGUCUUGUUUGUUCUAUUUAGGUUUGUCGUUGCAAUUAGAAUUGAGCACUCAGUCGUAAUAAGUAAUCGUUCAUAACUUUAGAAAUAAUAUAUAAUUAAGAAAUUGCAACAAAUCUAAUAAUCAUAUAUGCAAGUGGUUUGUUGCAAAAUGUCCAGUCAUCUAAUUAUACAUGUGAACUUUCACUAGAAAAAUUCAGCUCAUUAUCACUGGAUUCAUUAGGGAAUAAUUUUGGAAUUGAGACUCCUUGCAGUAUGUUAUGAAAAUGUCCAAAUUAUAGUUUUUGAGUCAAAUAAUUUUAGCUUCUUCAGUGUAGAAUGUUACAAAUCAUAUGAAUUCCUGUUUGGUCAAUAUGAUCUUAAAUUAGUAAGAAACUAACAAGACUAAAUGUGAUUAGCAAUCAUAUUAAUUUUUUUUAAUUAUAAAAUAAAGUUAGAUUUAAAUCGUAAAUUAAAUUUUCUAAUUUUUUAUAAUAAUAAAAAAAAAUACUCAGACUAUUAAAUUGUUAAUAGAAGCAGCAUAUCACGAGAAUUAGUUUGGUAGGUGUAAGUGAGUACUGUAUUUAAGCAUCCGUACAAACCGCAUGCAAAUUCAGCUCUGCAAAUAUACUUUCCUCUCUGCUUCUAAUACUACUCCCAUUAUUCAACCCACUAGCUAUACCUUUUCUUCUUAUCAAAACAACACAAACCCUAAACACACAUUUCUCUUCUUACCUCUCUCUCUCCUUCUACUUCUUCUUUCUUCUUUCUUCUUUCUUCUUUCUUCUUUCUUCUUUCUUCUUGUUUGAGAAAGAAUGAACCUAGAAGAAAAGGUGACAAUGGACUUGGUUCCACCAUCUGAGCAUCUCUGCUAUGUCCGCUGCAACUUCUGCAACACGGUUCUUGCGGUAAUUUUACAUAUUUAAUUUUAACACUCAAUCUGUCUCUCCCUCUCUCUCUCUCUCUCUCUUCAAUCUUCAUGAUUUUGUUUCCCAUACAGAAACCAAAAACUUAUCUAUUACUCCUUAUAUAUCUUCUCAUGUAUCUCUAUCAUAUAUCAUAAACUUUAGUUUCAUGCUAUAUAUUAUUUAUAGUAACCCUACAAAUAUGGGUCUAUAUACAAUAUCUAAUUUUGUUUUCUACUUAACCCUACAUAUAAUUCUCAGACAUACCUAGAUUUAUACUCUAUGAUCUUUAAAAUUAAGGGGAAAAACAAAGAAAAUGGUAAUUUCUUUUGCAAGUUUAUGUAAUUGAAAAUGGGGUUUGUAUUUUUUGUUUCUUACUUUAUUUUUUUGUUAAUUUCUGGCUCAUAUGCUUUGAAAUUAUCUUGUUUGAGUGUUUUUUCUAACCUAAUUUGGGUUAUAAUUUGAAUACUCCAAGAACUUAAUGACAAAAAAAUAAUAACAUUAGUAUCGGUAAUUCUAUAGGGUUGGGAUAAUAUUAUUCUAUGCAACAAACCAAAAGAUUAUACUAUAUUUUUGUUAUUUUCUCAUUUUUUUACUUAAUAUUGGGUAAUAAAUUAAAUGUUUAUAGGUUGGGAUUCCAUGCAAGAGAUUGCUAGAUACAGUGACAGUGAAAUGCGGUCACUGCAGUAACCUAUCCUUUCUCAGCACCAGACCUCCACUACAAGGUCAAUGCCUUGAUCACCCAUUGACCCUUCAGGUAUUUAUUUUUAUAUCAACUGUUCACUUUUUUUUUUUUUCUUUUGAAGUUUCCUUCUUGUUCUUGGAUGAUCAAGUAGUUAAUUAAUGUGUAAUUGCUAUGUUAUAAACCGAAACAAAUUCAAAUAUAAUCAGAAUUAUUCAUAAUAUAUAAUCUUAAUUAACUUAUUUUAAUGUGAAAAAAAAUUAGAACUUCGGGACUUAUGAUAGGUGCUUAUAUAUGUAUGUACCAAGAAGAAGCAGGGUUUUUUCAGUGAUCUUAGAAAGGGACAAUCUUCUUCCUCAUCAUCAUCAACAUCAAGUGAACCCUUGUCACCCAAAGCACCCUUUGUAGUGAAACGUAAGAACCCUAAUAACAAAAUUUGCUAUUUCUAUAAUUAAAUUGAAUUAUGAACUAAUCCAAAUUAAUUAAUUAUUUUUUCUUGCAGCACCUGAGAAGAAACAUAGACUUCCAUCUGCUUAUAAUCGGUUUAUGAAGUAAGAAGAGAAUAUCAUUAUAAUAAAUAAAUUUUCUUUAUUGAUCCUGUUUUUAUUUACUUGUAAAUAUCAUGUCAGCUAGAAGUAUUUUAAUUUCUUUCUAUAUCUAAUCUUAUUUGCUGGUGUUAGGGAGGAGAUACAGCGUAUCAAAGCUGCAAAUCCUGAGAUACCACAUCGAGAAGCCUUUAGCACAGCAGCCAAAAAUGUAAUUACCAAAAAAAUUUAUAUAUAAAUCAUAAUUAAUGUUGUUUAUAUAUUUUUAAAAAUUUUGUUUAACCUAGUCUUGAUUUUUGGUGCAGUGGGCAAGGUACAUUCCGAACUCUGCGGGUGGAUCAGUUUCUGGAAGCAAUAACAAUGUUAGAAAAAAAAAAACUCUAUCAUUCUCUUCUUUGAUUAAUUAAUUUCUUUACAUAAAUGUAAAUGCGGAAUUUUAAUUAGGGUUUUUACAUUUUGCAGGAUUAAAGAAGUGAAAGAAGAAAAAACCUAGAGAAGUUUAGACACUAGAAGAGCAAAGCAAAAACCUAGGACUUUGGAUUAAGCUUCUAUGUGUCAAAUGAAGUUUAUUGUGUUGAUGGUAUUUCUUUUAAAUCUAGAUUGAACUUAAUUAAUUAUAUAUAUUAAAGUUUGCAUGAGGAUUUGAACUUAGCUAUAGCUAGCUAGGUUAAAUAAUUGUAUUAAUCAUUAAUUAAGCAUAUACAUUUGGAUGGUUGAUUUCCCUAAGCUACUACUUUUACUAAAUCAAUGCUUUGGUUUUCAAUUUAACAUUUCUACAGAAUUCAUAGAUAAAUGGUAAUCACCAACAAUUAUUCUCCCCAUAUUCAAAUAUGCUAAUGGGUCGGGUAUGGAACGGGUUUUUUUUUUUUUUUUUAAUAUCCAUAUCCUAUCAGCCAAGAAAAAUUACUACUGCCUAUAUUAUUAAUAUUGGUUGAGAAGAGUAUUUAUAUAAAAAUAAAUAAAUAAUAAAGAGUUAAGUCAGGUUGGUAUAUACCCGUAUCUAAUUAGAUGAGCUAGAUAGCUUUUUUUCUUUUUAUAAUAUUUUUAUUGUAUAUAAAUAUAAUUAAUAAAUAAAAAGAAAAUAACUUAUAAGACUAAAAGGAAUAUAUAAACAAAUGGUUUCAUAAAUUUAAUUCCGUUCACAAUUAUAACUUUCAUAUUUAUUUAUUUGAGAUCGUCUAUUGGAUUAAAAAAAAAAAAAAAGAAAAAGAUUUUCUUUUAUAAAUUUUUAUUCUAUUCUAAGUGAUUAGAUUCAAGCUUUUAAUAUUUUUAAUAGAGAUUUCAAACUUUCACAUGUCAUCUUGAAGACAGUGAGAGAGUACGAGAGAGAUUUCUAUUUCUAUUUUUUAUUUAUUUAUAAAAUGCGGUAUUGAAUUGUUUUACAUGAGAGAAGAGUGUUUUAUAGGAACUAAAAUCCUAAUCCUUCAAUGAAAAAUAAAAAAUCCGGCAAAUUUUAAUGAAUGGUCCAGCGCAAAGUCUGGUAAUUGUCUUUUUCUUCGGUUUAUAUAAAAACAAAAAUAAUAAUGAUUUUUGUUAAUAUCAAAAAGCAAUAUUUUUAUGGGAAAAACUUACUUAAAUCGGAUCUAUACAUUUGAAAUAAGAGCAUUUUGACUAUACAUUUAGUAAAAAAAGAAUAAAGUCGGAACAUUAUCCUUAGUUUCAUUUAUUCGGCUAUAAUUAGGGUCAUGAACCUGAUCUAGAUAAAUAAUUUCCUAUUUUUAUUAUCAAUCAAAUGUGUCUGGUUGAUCUUCUCAGUAGUGUGAGAGAUAAAAAAUUUCGAAUUCAAGUCAUUUCCACCGUAGUUUUCUACCAUGUUUUGUAGCGUAUUAUAUUAUUUCAAUCUAUCGGACAUCCCAAUAAAUAAUAUUUUUAUUAAGACACUGUCGUCCUCUUUCAUUUCGCUUCAUCAUUGUUCCGGACAUUCUUUAUUGCAAUUGAUUGGCAAAAGAAGCCAUGAUGAACCCUAACAACUUUUGCUUUUUCAAAUUGUUUGAUGGCCUUAUGAGCAAAGGCAAGUUGAGGAUAUAAUUUCAGGAGAACAAACUUGUACAUUCAAUGAGGCUGUGGGGACAGAACUUUCCUUUUGGGUGAGGACGACGCUACUCAAAAUAACAAUAUGUUUCCAUUGAAAUUUUAGAGGCAGUGGAGUAACUGUAGAGAAUUGCCUAAUUGCCCCAAUUGUACAUCCACGUUGCUUUGAGUUAAAGAAUUUGACAAAGCUAGUUUAUUUAGUUCUUCGGUUUUCUACUAGUCACCUCCUAAAAAUACUUCUUCCUUCCAUCAAAACCGAAUCGACCCAAGUCGCACCCCAUCUGAAUCUCCUCUCCGCAAUCGAAACCACCUACAAUUAGCUUCGUUGAUAGUGAGAACUGAGCUGCUUCGUUUAGGGUUUUGCAGCUAAUAGAGGGAGUAUGUAAUUAUAUUUUGAACACAGAUCGUAAUUAGCGUAUUUAACUAAAAUCGUAGGUCUAAAUAAUUAAUUUACUCUCACUGAAGAUGAACUCAAAUCAUAAAACAUACUAAAAGUCCGGUGGACGAUUUUUGCAAGAUUAAAAGUUUAAUUAGCCUGAAUAAUAUUAAAUUUCACAAAAAAAGAAAGAUAAUCUAUUCUUUAAGAAUUUUGAUUCGAGAUCACUCCUUUUGCAUUAGUGAAAAAACUAACCAGAUCACACUCGAUCAAAGUUAUUUUCUAUGCAAAUUUUAUUAUUUUAUUUCCCAUAAUCUCUUAAUCACUGCUGAACCAGAAUUCCUCUAAGAACUAACUAAUUAAUAAAUUAUAUUUAUGUACGAAUUGCCAUUAUGCGUCAUGAGUGAUAUCAUAGUAUUAUAACAUGCGUCAUCACUGACAUCAAAGUAUCACACAUCUUAGACUAUAACAUCAUAAAUAAGGUGGGCAUAAAAGUGGACAUGCACAUGUACUUAUAACCAUUUUAUAAGCCUUUAAACAUAUAAUUACUCGCACUAAACAUAUGUUUUUACAUAAUUAAGGUAUUAAUGUUACUUUAAGUCAAGUUGCAUUCUUAAAAAAACACAAUACCCAUUUAUGUUGCCUUUUACAACUCACUCUCCACACACCACUGACAAGAAUUAAAAAUAAAAAUAAAUAAAUAAAAAGACUUUGACUUUUUUUUUAUCAGUGAAUCAAGUGGUUUCUACACUUUUAAGCGUCAAAUGGAAAGAUAAUUAGGGCUGUAAUUAUACUAUAUAUAGAAAUAUUCUCUUUUAAACAAUUUGUUCUUUCUUGGGUCUAAGCUCCCAAGUUUUUGGGAUAAUCUUAAUCUAUACAAUAUGGUUACCUGUAAAGAACUGCAAAGAAAGGCUAAAUAUUCCAUUCAACAACAUUAAGGAAUCAGAAUGUUGAAAGCUCAUAAUUUAAUUAGCUCUUCUAAAUAAAAUAUUAAGAACCAUAAAAAGAAAUUUAUAAAAAUAAAAAAAGAUUACUGCAUAUUUUUCAUUUUGCCUCUUUUCUUUGUCCCUUCAAAAUUUGCCCCUUCACAAAGUGAUGCAACCCAGAAUCUGCUUUGGAUAAAUAAAAAGUGAAGGAUAUUUGAUGAAAUGCCAAGUUGUAUUGACUGAGGAACUGAAUCCUUGAUUUAGAACCAGCAUAAAAUUUACAAGGCCGGCCAAAAUAGAGUAAUCUAGAGCAAGAAAGAGUAUUAAACUUACAUGAUCUAGAGUAAUUAAACCAUAUUAAUAAAUUUCUGUUAUAUACUUAUCAGUAACGGAAUGUAUUGCAUGUUGUAUCUUAAGUUUCCACUGAGCUCAAGUCUACCAGCCUUUGUCCACUGCACCAUUGAAGUUAGUACUACACAUUUGAUGCACCAUUGAAGUCAGUUCUACACAUUUGAUGCAGCUUACGUUCAAAAUAGUCAUUUAACCCUGCAUCGACGAUGCAUUUUACCGUUACUCCAUAAGAAAGAUUUGGCUAGAUUUAUAAAUAAAAAUUGACCGAGAUCUCCUAUCUUUAGAUGGAAAUCCAAAGAACGAGCAUUGGAUAAACAGAACUUUACCAAGAUUUUUGAUAAGUUUUUGAAAGAAUCCAAAUUCAGUCGAUCCAACAAAACUGAACAAUUUCCAAAAUUAGCAUUAAAAAAAAAAAAAAGGCAAAAGAUUUCAAGCUGUUAGUUUACAUACCUUGCUCCUUUUAUGCCCCAUAUGUGGUAAGAAAACUGGAAAAAUCCUCAACUUCAUGCUUCACUUGUGCAGAAUUCCUCUGUUGCUCGACCCUAUGAAGAUGUGAUGAAAGUUGAAGCAAAUCUACAGUAGAUCCAUUUUCAUCAGAAGCACAGUAUUUCGCGUUCAAAAGAUCUGAUUCUUGAAGAAAGCCGUCUGGUUCAACUUGAAGUUCACCAGCAUAAGAGACUGUGAACGAUCCCAUAUGGUUAGAUUUAAAGGGAUUCAAUCCAGAUGAAUGAAAUCCAUUCGGCAAAUACUUUUCCAAAGACUCUACCCCAAAUGGUUUGUCAGAAAUGCCAACACUGUGAUGGGAACGAUUAGCUUGACUGAUCGAGGGCCUUGCCAUUAUAAUUCCUGCUGAAUGACUUAAGUCCUGUGAUUCAGCUGACAGAAGAGAGAGAGCACAACUGGAAUGUGACACCCCGGCUAACUCAUGAACAGUUGAUGCAGUAUUAAGACGAGUGAACUCAUCAGUUGCUGAAGGACAAAUUCCAGAAGUGUUUUGGAUCCCAUUGCCAUGUAGACGGAGAAAGGAUUUUGAAACAAACUGCCCAUUUGAGUUGUAUACUGAUUUCUCUUCCAAUUUAACUGGCCUAUAGCAGUUAGAUGCUUCAUGUCUAUCUGGAGAAAGAAUACCACCAGCAAGCAUGUUGGGAAACAGAAGAGACGCUCUGUUCGGCAAGCAGGUCCCCAAAAAUUUUGUCUCUGCAAAAUCAUAUGCAUCAGAAAUAUAGAAAUAUACAUUUAGCAAAUAAAAUUUCCAAUUUUGUGAUCAUAAUAAAUCAUUGUUUUUUAGGGACCACUAUAACUCCAUAACCACGUACAGUAAGUCCCAUCAAUGCAUAAUCAUGAUUUCAUUAGCAGUGCAUACAUUUAUAUUAGGGAGUUUAUGACCUUAAAAACAAAUGCUUAAAUCAAAACAAUUAAGUAAAAACAUAAAUAAAACUAAAUAAAGAUUAAUUAAAAUAAAUAAAAAUACUAAAAAUCCUAAUAAACACUAUAUUAAAAAUACUAUAAAAAAUUAGCCUAUCAGAGCAACUUAAAGAGUGAAUAAAUUCCAAUUCCCAGAAGAGCAGUUAUAUCAGACUAUAGAACAUUCAGAAGAAAGGAAAAUAUUGGCUUCAGUCUCACUAAAUCUAUUGAAAUUUCAAGUUAAGAUAAAUAUAGCUCCACCUCUAUUUCUCUUUCAAAUUUCAAACAAUCUCAUACUGAAUUUCGUAAUUUGUUAAACUAAUUAAUCAAAAACUGAAAAUAAUUUUAGGAAAGAUUUGCACCAAAUAACAGAAUGUCUUGCAGGUUUACAAAUUCCCACAUCAAAAAGAAAAGAAAAGAAAAAAAAAGAUUGAACAUAUCAAGUUACCAUCCGGGUCUAUCAAUCACAGUGCAAGCCUGAGCCUAAGAGCAAUAUAGAAUUGAGUAAAACAGAAAGCAAGCUCUUGAAACAUGCACUAAAACUAAAAGAUGCAACAAAAUAUUAACUCUUACAAUUUCUUUGCCGGAACAUAUGACUGUAAGAAUUGCAUGCAUCAGAUUAGAUCAUUUAUGAACAAUUGAAUAAGAAAAAGAAAUAAGUCAUCGAUAAAGUAGAAGUACUGUCUACAUAAAAACAGUAAGGCCAAAUGUAAAUAAAAAAUUUGAACGUUACAUAUUUAAAAUUUAUAUACAAAUCAAGUUCAGAUCCCAUCAAGGGGCAAAGUUUAAUAAAACCUUAAAAAUGGAAAGUCUAUACGACAUCAAUGAGCUUUUUCUAUUAUUGCCCUGUUCAUUCGACUUUUAUAUUAAACUGAGUUGCAUUUUCUGCGCAGAAUAAGAGUACAAACAGUUCAUACCUUGAUAUGACUGCAGUAACUUAUGUCUACCAGAGAGAGCACCAAACUGAGGCUUCCUUCGCCGUUCAUUGUGCCCAGCUAGGCGUUUACGACAACUGCGCUUACCAUCGUCGAAUUCAACAAGCAAAUGAAACCUGAUUAAUCAAGUCAGAAGAGAACAAACUUACUAAAACAAUAGAAGGAAAAGACACUAGAGAAUGCUAAUUAUAUACGCGAUUCAUGCGGUGAAAUUACAUUACAAAAUCAAUUAGACUAGUUAUAUAAUUUACACAAUCACCUGAAAAAAAGAAUAUUAUUUACCUAAAUGCACUGAAAAUCUAGAUGCACUCUAACCAUAAUUUUCAUCUUACCUUUACUUUUACGCUAUUAUGCUUCCUCACCCUUUUUUCCUAAAUAAAGAAAACCAAGCGACUUGCGCGUACAUAAUCUUUAUAGUAAGUUUACCGUCAUCAUUAAAAGCCAUAAAAAAAUGCAUUGAAUAUGGCCCACAAAAAGUAAGCACGCCAAAGUAACUAAGCAUCAUAAUUAAAACAAAGAAUGAAGAAAAAGGAGGAAAAAAAGAAGCCAACCUGCUACACUGCUGGCAAAACCUUUGCUCAACACCAUUAACAAUAACUUUGGGAGUCUUUGAGUGGAUCUCACAAACUUUAUGCCUCUUGUGGUAAUCCUUUAAGGAGCUGAGGUCUUUGUUACAACCAUAGACCUGGCAAAGAGGAGUCUGUAAUCGCGAACUCAUUGUUCGAGCUCGCUUUGGCUGAGAAGUUGGACUUACUGAAGAUACCACUGAUCUUUCUUUCAAAAACUUACUAUUUUGUGCAUCUUUGCCAUCAAUCAAUCUACCUAGCUUUAAAUCAAUUAGUGACGAAUCCUGACUGUUAGAUUCCAUGAGAGAAUUAGAAUGGUUUGACCCAGAUUCCAGUGAUGAAUUUGAAGCAAUCAUAUAACUAGGAGAAGUUAGUUCUAUUUUACAAGAAUCAAUACCAGCUUCAUCACUACCAAGCAUCCCCGCACCUGUAUUACUACUAGCAUGAAAUGGCUUUUUCGGAAUUUCGCUGAAACUCAAAUCUAUAAACUCAGUACUCUCGACAGAUUCCCCAUCCCAUCCUGUGAAUACUCUUCUAUUUCUCCCAUACGAAUCAAUAGAUGAAUCUAUUUCAUCUGAGAACAGAAGGCCUUUACCUUCCGCAGCAAAGCGCCAACACUCCAUCAACAAAAAAGAAAAGCAAUUGCAGAAAGUAGGCAGAGUCUUUAGUGCCCCUAACAAAAAUCACAAAGAGAAUGCUAAUCACCAUAUAGCAAUAAUUCAUUAAAGUCAAAGAAAUUGCAAUAGCACAAACAUCAUGUAAACGGCAACAUCAAUUAUUUCAAGAUAUGAAAUUGACCAUAACAAAUAGUGGAUAUAAAUCAAAUUCAAUACCCACGACUCUGCCACUUGAUAGACCAAAUUUAGAGAGACCCAAUUGGUUUCAACAUUCCUCAUAAGCACAUCACAGCAAUGAUGACACUAACGACAAACGACGACAAAAAAAUUUCUAAAUUGCAAAUAAACUAAACUGCACUGCCUAUUUCUUGGCUGAGAAAUUUAAAGGACAAAAGAACAUAACUUUUUUUUUUUUUUAUUUAAUCUCAAUCGACUCUGUAUAUUUUCUUUUUAUUGUACAACAAUAACUGAGGUCUAGAAAAUAUGGAACUUCAAAUUUCUACCCACAUCACUUUCCUCCAGUUUUCUCAGCAGCCAAAUAGAGAAAACAGAAUACGGAGCAGAGUAAAAACCCACAACCACAAGACCCUUAAUAAUAUCUUUAAAUGUUCAGUCUAAAACCAACAUAGGUAAAAGGAACACAAAUCUCAAAUCCCAAAAAAAAAAAAAAAAAAAAAAUGAGAGAGAGAGAAAAUAUAAAAACAAAGAACCAGACACAAAAAUCCGCCCAUUUGAAAAGCUUAACAAAUAAACUAGUAAGCUUGAUUACUGAGAACUUGCAAGACAAAAAAUGGGUUCGUUGCAGGAUUCCAAAUUUUCUCGUCUUCUUACAAUUUCCACAAAAAAAAAGCACAUACACCAAAAAAAAGGGAAAAAAAAAAAAGAAAGAAAAACAACCCAGAAAACAUGAAAAACAGAGCCAACACAGUAACAUUUUCUUUUGUUUGGCUUACCAGAGAAGAUAAUAGCGACAGAUAGCGAGAAAGAUGGAGAGAAGGGCGAGAAAGAUGGAGAGAAGGGUAUUAUUUUUCCUUUCAGAUAAGUGGAGAAGAAGUCGAAGCAGAUAUACAUGCGCUGUGAGUCAACAUGAUUUCCACUACUCAUACAUUGAUAAUACAUACACACUCUCUGGUUUCAAAAGCAUGUCCAGGUCUUUUGUAGCUUUUGAGAGUUGACUGUAUUUCCUAUUUUGUCCAUACCCUUUCUAUUUUAUUCCCAUCGCGAGAAAAGCAUUCAAAAGCAUUAUUGUUUUUAAAUUUUUAUCUUAAUUAAUUAUUUGCAAAAUGUUCUUUUUUAUCGUUCUAUCCUUUUGAUUUUCAUGUCUCUCGCCUGAUAUGAUCUUGAUCUGAUCUGCCUCAUGUGAUCUUGUUUUGCUCUAAUUCUUACUUUUCAUGUCCCUUCAAAGAUAGGACAUUUAUAAUUUUUACAUGAAUAUCAUUAUCGAAUUUACUAAAUAUGUAGAUAAUAUUUUUUUCGAUGCGACAAUAUCUUUUUUUUUUUCUCAAAUAUUGAUAGAGAAAAUUUUAAAUAUACAUAUAAUACUACUCGAGCCAUUAAAUGAAGUUUGCAAGUUCGUAAAUGUUGACGUUGUUGGUGCAGUUUUUUUAAUUUGGGAUAAUCUAUAUUUGUAGACAACAAAAAAUGAAGUCUACAAGUUAAAAAGCUAUGGCAUGAAUAUAAAGAUGAAGGAAAAAAUUUUCCAAUCCCAUUUGUUAUUAUCUAUAUGUUGUUUUAGCCAUGGUUCUUCUAGUGGAGGCAUGCUUGGAUAUUUUUAUGCAACUUGCUUUUUUUUUUUUUUUUUUUUUCCCCUUCUUUCCAAGGUAAAUUAGUAUUGUAAUUAUUAGGAUUGAGACCAACUUUAAACUCUUUCAUCUUUUUAGGUAUUUUCUCUUGUACACAAUACGUGUAGAAGAAUGAAUGAAUAUUCAUUCCAUUAUAAGUGUCUUUUAACAUAAUAGCACAAUAAUUAUUAAAUAAUCUGAUUAAAGUAUAAUUAUACGAUUAAUUACUCAUUUUAUCACUUCUCUAAAUAAUUAAUAUUUAUCUGAUAUUAAAAGAUAAGGAUAUAGUUUAAAAAUAUUUAAUACACUUUUACUAUUUUAAAAUCACAAAUGAAGUAGUAAAGGUAUUUGUAAUGGAAUGAACAAAAUAACCGCAUAAUUUGUUCGGUCAAAACACUGUCUUAGCAUUCAAAACGUUAUUUUCGUUAACGUUUAAUGUUUUAUAAUUUUUUUACGACACAUAUCUUUAUCACUUGUCUGUACCUUAUUUUCUGUUUUUAUAUAAUUUUUUAUCGUUUUAUAUUAAAUAGUUAAUCAAAUAAUUAUUUAUACUGAACAUUUUUAUUAUAAACCGCUUGAACAUUUUUAUUAUAAACCGCUGUAUAAACAGCUAACCAUUAAUAGUUAAUAUUUAAAAAUUAACCACUACUGGUAAAACAACAGCUCACAACGAAUAAAAUAUUUAAUAGUUAUUAAAACAAUUAAAAUUAUCGAUGGACCCUAAGUUCCUUGAAACUUUUAUUGACCUUGUUUUUUCGCUCUAAUGUUCUGUUCUUUUACCCAAUAUUCUUUAGCUCGUGUGAAUUGGAAUUAAUAUUUUAAUUCUUUCAUUAGAAAUGACGAGAUUUCCAGGCAAUUGCUCUUUUGGUCUCCCUCGUGCAAUGUCUUUUUUCCUUUGUCAAUAAAAUUGUAAACGUCAAAACUAGAUUAGACAAAUGAUUUUUUUUUUUUUAUGAAAUUUUGAUUUUUUGUUUCAAUAAAAUUAAAUUAUAGCUCAAAUAUGAAUUUAAUUGUUUAUGUCCAUUUCUUGGUGUCUCUUUGAGGAAAGAAUGGAAAAAAAAAAUAAUGUAUUACUUUUUUUUGUAAUCAAGAAAUAUUAUAUACUUUAUACGGUAAUAAAUUGAUAUAUAAUUGAAUAAUGUAUACAUAAUUUAUAAAUUCAAACUGACCAGAAAUGGACGUGAAAUCUUUUCAACCCCAGACUUAUCAUUGGAUAAUAUUUUUUUUCUUUAAUAUUUUCUGCUAAGAAUUUAAGAAUUGAUUUAUUUAGGCCAGGUCUUUGAGAUCACUCGUGUAUCAAACUUAUAAAAAAUAUUUUUUUUAAGACAAAUUAUUUCUGACAAUUCAUUGUAAAAAAGAUAAAAUGGAAAUAAUAUUUCAAAAAUCUAUAUUUUUAUUGAUUUGGUCUGGAUUUAUAAACUAAGUUUAGACAAGUAUAAUUAUGAGACAACUAAUUGAUAGUAAUAUUUAUUAUAUUUUAAUAGAUUUUAGUAGAGGUGAGCAAUACUCGUUUCCGACUAAAACUGAAUCAAAUUGAUUUAUUUUGAUCGGAUUUGAAUAGUUAAAAACUCAAUUACAGAUCGGUUUGGUGAGAAAAAUAUUUGCAUUUUUUAGUUUUUGGUUCGGUUAACAUACAUAACUAUUUAAUUUCGAAAUAAUCAAAUUCAAAUGAGCUGAAUCAAUUUAAUUCGGUUUUAUAUUAAUCGAUUUUGGAUUCAAUUACUAUAAAAUUGCAUUCAGUUAGCAGAAUUUGAGAUUAUUUUUAAUUCCGUUCGAUUAUCGAAAUAUUGACCCAAGUUUCAGUCAAGAAUGUCCAACUAUUUUGUUUAUAUAUUAUUUUUUUUGAACAAUGGUUUAUAAAUUAUCUAAUUAUGAAUUAUUACCUCACUUUGAGGAAGUUUGAAACUCAAGUUUUGUUUUUGGUAAACCAAGAUUUAUUUUUCCAUGCAACUUUAAAACCUAACCGAAGGUAAAAAAAGUCUCUGUCUACCAAACUACCAAGUAACAAGCACGCUAGUGUCUAAAAGACAAAAACUUAACACUUGCAUAUCUUAACAUGUAAUUGAGGACCCAUAUCGUAAAUUAGGUUAAAAGAAUAUUACCUAAAAGGGUAAAAAUAUAAAAAUUUUAUUUUUCUCUUUUUAGACACUACUAAUUAGAAAAUAACAUAGUAACAAGAUGAUGCAAUAACUAAAAUAAAUUGCUUGCAUAAGCUAUUGGAUUAAGAACAACUGAAUUUAAAAAAUCAAUCAACAUAUCAUGUAAGAUAUUUAAGCGCAAACUAAAUAAAUGUCAAAAAUAAAGUUUCUGUAUUAAUAAAAAUAUCAAAAAAUUAUAAAAUUGAGAGGAUGUAAAUAUUGAUAAAAAUAAAUAAAUCAGCAAUCCUCAAAUUAAUCUUAUACAACUUAUGUGAUUCAACAAAGACAACAGCAACCGUAACAGCGACAAUAACAACAAUAAAAGAAUAAACUCAUAUAUAAAUAACGAAAAUAAUAUUAUUUUAAUAUUUAAAAUCAAAUUGAUAUUUUUUUAAAAUAAAAUUUCAAAAUAUGAUAUUUAUUACAAUAUUUCAAUAUUUAAAUCUAAUGAAAUCUUAAUAUUCAAUAAUUGAGAAUUCACAUAUGCGUAUACAUAAGCAAAUUUAUUUCACUGCAAUUUAAAAUGUAAUGGCGAAUAAGCUCGUUUCACAUAAGUCCAACUUAUGACAAUCAAUUAUAUAUAUACAUAUAUAAAUAAAGUAGUAUGUAAAUUAUUGACAAUUAUUGAGCAAAAACACAGUAAGUAAGUAAGGAGGUGAUGAUGUUUUACAUCCAAAGCAAAAAACUUUUGAAGUGGGUGAUACUAAAGUAACAUGCAGUAGGCAUCUAGGCAAAAAAGAUUAAAAAGAAAAAGCAAGAUUGAUCAGAAUGGGCGGUGAUUGAGCAAUUAAACUCCAAAAGGGCAAUACCAUAAAUUUGGCAGAGAAAAUCAAAUCACAUAUCAAUAAAAGAGGAAGUGACAAGACCCCUGAGUUGCCACUUGUACACCAGGGUGAGCAUAAACGUGUCCCAAUCAACAUCGUAAGGAGACAGAGAGAGUGAGUGAGUGAGUGAGUUAGUGAGUGACUCAGUUGUAUGUCUCUGUCUGUGCUGACACCACCAACUUCAACUUUUCCUUUACAAUGAGUGCCAACUAAAAGCCAACCAAACCAACCAGCCUUGUUUCUUUCUAUCUCACUCUCUCUCUCUCUCUCUCUCUAUUAGGAGAGAGGGCCUGUGCCUAUUUCUCAACUGCCCCCUCUCAAACGGGUCAGUGAGCAGACACCUCUGAAAGCUGCCUCUCAUUGCAAUUUUUGUACCCUUUCUUUCUUUCUAUUCUAUAAUUGAGUGAAUUCUUGGCUUCUUGCUUUUCCUUUUUCUUGUGUAACAUGCAACUAAAGCUCUGUGGUAACAUGUGUUGCUCUAGGGAUGAUUAAUUUUAUCAAACAAAACAAAACAAAAACAAACCUACUCCUUUUUUACAUUCUUGUUUAGUUGUUUAUCCACAUAGGAUUUUUUACUUUAAGCAACACUAUGCCACUGUAUAUAUAAGAUUUACCGACGGCUGAUAUAUGAAUGGUUUUAUACACUGAGUUAAUACAUAAAGAGAAUUUUUGAUUGAUUUAAUGUAUAGAAUUGGCUAAAAUAAGUGCUUUUUUAUUAAAAAAUAAAUUGAUUUGGGACUUUCAUUCAUAGGAUUUAGACCAUGUAUUGAAAAAAUAAAUUUUAAUUAUUAUUUUUAAAUAAAAUGAUUAAUUUUCAAGUCCUCUUUAAAUUUCUCUCUCUCUUUUUUACAUUAGACAACCAUAGAAAACUUACCUAAAUUGAGUCCAUGACCUCAAUGCAAGGAUCAAAGUAGUAAAAAUAUAAUUUUUUAUUGAAACCAUCGUAUUUCAACCCUACGGUCAGCAAAAAAAAAAAAUUUAUAAAGAAAUAAAAAAGGGGAAAAUAUAGAAAAUAAAGUAGAUCUUUUUAUAAUAAUUUCCAUUAUAUAAAAUAUCAUUAUUUUCUGUCUAAUUGUUUAACCCUAGUUUUAGUUUGAGAGUGCUGCCGUUUAUUUUUUUAAUAAUUUUCAUUAUAUAAAAUAUCAACUGUAGCCUUCUACCUCAUAUUUUCUAUUAGCUUUUUCGAUUCUUUUCUUUUUUUUUUUUUUAAUAAAUUCAGUUUUGUUUUUCUAUAACAGAUAUAUCUAUUUAUUUUGUUCUAGUUGGUUGUCUCCAUAUUUGGAGUUUUUUUGUCCCUUCUUUGUAAAUGUUUAUUAUUAAAUAAAAUUAUGAUAUUUGAUUUUAUUUGGUUGGAAACUUUAGAUUUUGAUUUGUAGGUGUGGAUCUUCAAUCGAUGGAGCUUAAUAGUACAACAUGUUUUUCAAUUGAUGCUAUUGACGCAUAGUAGGGAAACUCAUCUGAAUUCGUCAUAUGUUGCAAAUUAUUGAAAAAACAAUCAAGUUAUAGAAGAUCAAUAAGAGUUAUUAUUUUGACAUAUAAAUCAAUUAACGAACUAGUUGCUGCUAUGGAGAUUUAUAUUUUUUGUUAAGAUCUAUUCAAAGCGAAAAUAUUUAAAAAUUAUAUAUAUUUUUUUAGUUUUAGUUUUAUUAUUCAAAAUGAUAUGAAUUUAUUUGUUUCAUUAAAAGAUCAGUAAACUCUAUUAAUUAAUAAAGUUCUAUAUCUGUGCUAUAUGAUUAUUUAUAAUUAUUGAUAUUAUUAUUAAUGAAUUACAUUUAAAAAAAAAUCUUAUGCUUCGAAAAAAAUAAUAAAGUAUGGAAAAUUUUUUUAAAAAGUCAUAAUUUCAUUAAUUUGAUUCAUACGUAAGCUAUGAAUUUGAUCCGACAAAUAUUUUUGAGAUAAAGAGUAUAAGUCGUUCCCUCGCGAAUUUAUGCCAGCAAUGGCAAAAAAAAACAAAGCUUGAAACCACAACAAUCUCCAAGCCCACCCAAAUCUCACCUUUAAGCUUCAACGCUACCGCUGCUUUUUUUUUGGCUCAGAUGCCUUCUUUUGCAUCAAGAGCUGAAGGACGUGGAGUUUUAAGGGGAAUUCAAAAAAGGACAAGGUAUUUUCUAACCAAAAAAAAAAAAAAAAAAAAAAAAACUACUUAUUGCCCUCCUAAAAUUCAAAAAUUACAUUUUAUUAUGAAUGGCAAGAUAAGUUACUUAUAAGAUUUGCCAACACUCAUGUAUAAAAUCACACAUACAUCAAGCCAAUAAAAAAAAUAUAAUUUUAAAAAAUUGAUAAUAAUUUUUUUUUUCAAUAAAUGAUUAAAAUACCUCUUUUGAAUUUAAAAAAUUAUUUUUAAUUGAUUGAAUAUCAACCGAUCUGUAACUGAGUAAAGAUAACUAAGUACUUCCUAUACCCAUCAUCUCUCCUCAGUGAUACGACGGGAAAUGUCAAGAAAAUAAAGUCCCAAUCUCUAUCUUAAACUAAAAAAAUUUAUAGUUUAUAAAAUAUAAGAUUAUUUGAUGUUAUAUGUAUUAAUAAAAAAAAUAUUAAUAUAUUAUAUAUUUUCGUUUCUAGUGCGGUUUAUUAAUUAAAUACCAAAACCGUCCCAUACUUAAAAAUGUAUUCCCUCCAUCCCAUUUUAUUUAUAUGGUUUGAUAAAAUGUACAUAUUAAGAAUUUAAUCAAUAAAAAUUAUUUUGCUAUUUUUCAUCCUUAAAUCGUUAUAAUAUUAAUAAAAGUUCUCAUUUAAUGAACAAUUAUAAAAAUUAUUAUGAAAAAAAUAAUUAUUUAGAUAUACAAAUUUAAAAACCUUACAAACAUUCAAAAAAUAAAAAACAAGUAAAUAAAAUGGAACGGAUAUAUUAAUUUUAAAUGUAAGACAUGAAGCCUAGAAUGUUAGAAAAAAUUAUCUCGUUUUGAUUCGGAUUAAUUCAAAAUUUCUGCCAUUUAAUACAUUUUAUUUUAUUUCCUUUCAAAAAUUAUAUUUCAUUUAUAAAUUCUACCUUCUACGUCCGCACACUUUAAUUAAACUUUAUAAUUUACAUAACCUUCGUCAGCAAGCCCUUCUUUUCUUUGCACAAACCCAUUUAACUUUUCUUUGCUUUUAAGCUAUUGUCCUUUAGAACCUUGAAAAUUAAUUCAAAACAAUAAAAAAAUAUAUAAUCAAGUGUAAUUAUAAUUAUAAUAAGUACUAAAACUUGAGUUAAAAAAAAUCCAUUCAACAUACUAGAAUUCGAUAAAAGAAAAUUGGGCAGGUAAGCUUUUUUUUUUUUUUUUUUAAAAAAAGAUUUGGAAGAUAAAUAAAAUAGAGUACGUGUCAUAACAAGUAAGGGCAGGGUGACCAAAUGGCAAGCAAGCAAGGGCAGGGAGAGGGUCCUGACAAAAGUUCCUACCGUGCUUUUUAAUGUGUGUUUGCAUUGCACUGCCAAAAUAAGGGCCAAUUCCCCACACCCAGCACCCCCCACUUGUCCCUAUCUCCACUAAUUCUAAGGCCUCUAAUUUUUCUGACAACAAAAAAGAAAAAAAAGCAGUUUGCUUUAUGGAUAACGGCCCAUCACCACUUCCUGUCCUGCCAUGCAGUAGUCCUUGUUUCACUUCUAAUUUUCAGUACAUUAAUAUAUUAAUUUAAAAGUAAAAUCAAUAAAUAUUAAUCAUUCGAUAUUAAUUUCAUAUCGUAAAAAAAUUAUUAUUAUUUACUGAAGUUCAAUUUAGUCUCCAAAAUUUCAGUGUUUAAAGCGACGGGAUUACCAAUAUUUUUUUUAGAGAGAAAAUAAAAUAUAUUUAUCUGUUAGAUAAUUAUAAUUGAUUAAUCGAUGAUCAAAUUAUUGCCGUCACUAUAUUUUUAAAUAUAAAUAAUAAAUGAUAGCAUCAUUAUUCUUAACCACCAUAUUGUCUAUGAUAGUACUGUGAGCAAAUUUUGAUGUUGAUCGAAUGAUAAAACUGAAUCAAUACAAUUUGCUUUUAUUUUUAGUUUCAGUUCGAUUUUCUUUAUAAAUUACCAAAUGGGUUAAAAAUAAUAAAAUCAGUAUUUGAGUUAAUUUGGUUCAAUUUUUUUAGAAGUUUAAAUUGGUCCAUUUUGAAAGCUAAAACUUAAUAAUGUUUAGAUAUCUUUCGAUUUAUUUUGAUUUUUGUAAAUAAAAUUGAAUUAUUUCAAUUUGAUUUAGUUUAAUUUUUCACGAUUGAACUGAACUGAAUGCUUUCUUAAUUUCUAUAUAUUAUAAAUAUGUAUAGAAUAAUGCAGCUAACGGGGAGAAGGAAAAAAUUGCUUAAUUAUUGAAUAGAAAGCGAACCCAAAAUUUGGCAUGACCUAAAUGUGGGUUUGAGUCAUUGUCAUGAGUUUGAAGUGAUGCAAUUUGAAAGCAAAACGAUGACAAAAAAAGACAAUGUUGUGACUUGGAAAUUGAGUUGACACCACUCUUUUUAUGUACCUUUAAAAUACAGUGUUAUUUUAAUUUUAUAACACCCUUAAUUUUUAUUUUAAUCUAUUAAAUAUUUCAGCUUAUAUAAAUAAAAUAAAUAUCAAUAUAUACUAGUUCGAUUUUGAUUAUAUUAAUUUUUAAUUAAUUAAUUAAUUAAUUAAUUUUAUAUAUAUAUCAUUUUAACUUGAUCGAAACUUGUAUGUGAAUUGAUUUAAUGCUUGAUUGAAAUAUUGACAUGGAUAAAAAAGAAUAUAUUUAAAUUAAGAAAUUAAUAUUAUUCUUGAAAAAUCUUUAAUUUGAUUGGUUUAGUUUUCCACUCGAAUCCAAAUCUUAGAGAUAUAAUUCAGAAAUUUUUUAAAAAAUUAUUCUCUUUCUUUAUUAAAUAUAAUUUUAAUUUAAAUAUUUAAUUUUAAUUAAAUAAUGAGCUCCAUAACCCUCUGUGAAAUUCUACAUCAAUAAAAAAUUAUUGCUAAUCAAUAUUUUAUAUUAUAUCAUCAAAUCCCUUAUUUUCUCCAUUAGACAGUCAAGUACAAAACAUAAUUAUACUAUUGUAUUCAAUUAUAUAAUAUAAGAUACCAUAAAAAGCAAUUAUUAAUAUUUACCAUUAUAAAAUUAGGUCAAACGAAGCAAUUAUUAAUAUCUUGACAUUAAGUUAGCGUAAACGGAUUGAUGUGUGUUUAUAUAUACGGAUUGAUGUGUGUUUAAAAAUUAAAAUAUAAGAAAUUUUAAAAUUGUAAAGGGUAUAAUACAAUUACAAUAUAAUUUAAAAAUUCAAGAACUAAAAUGUAAACAAAAAAAAUUCAUAGUUUAAUAAUUAAUGAUUAAAGCGUUGAAUGCCAACAAAAAUAGUAAGAUUAUAUUAUUUCUUGCAGGUAAAAGUUGGUACAUACAAUGACUUCCGCUGAUCCAACUGGCUCUUGGCUUUUUAUAACAUUAUUAUUAAUCAACUUAUUAAAUUAAAUAAUAAAAAAAAUAUUAAUUAAAGAAGUGAGGCUGACUAGUAUUGGGCUGAAAUAUAAGCCCAAAACUCUUGAGCCCAAUCACUUCAAAAACCAUAAUCAAGCGCCAAAAUUUCCAAGAAUAAAACUGUGGAAUUGGCAAACGGAGGAAGUAAAAAUCGCAGCAAUCGAAGCGAAAAGGCCAGUAAGGUAAAUUAUAACUUCUAUGGCAUUUUCUAUAACGUCGUUAGGCAAGAUAAUUUGUAACUGAAUGGUAGGAGGAAAAUCAAUUAGUAAAUUGAUUGUUUUUGGAAUUUCUGAUCAUCUUUAAGAGCCUAAUUUGAGUUUGAAGAGGUUAUGGUAUGUUAAUUUUCUUUGAUCGCCCCUUGUGUAGUUGGAUUACCCUUUUUCCUAAGAUAAUUUGAUGCCUGAUAAAAGAAUCUGGGCAAAUUUCGAGUGGAGAAAAGCUAGCGCUGUCGAUAUUAAUCAAUGAUUGUGUUUUCUCGCAUUUGAUUGUCUUUUAUUCUUAUGUUGUUUGGUUUAAACGAAUAUGUUCAUUUCACUCCCCAAAAAUCAAUUAAAGAUAACAGAGUUAAAUUCUUCCAUUGUACGAGUAAAUUCUAUACUUAAUAGCAUGAGAAUAUCAGAAGCUUAUAUCAACUACAACGCAACUAUAACACUAAGACUUAAUCUCAAACUAGUAAGAGUCGGCAAUAGGAAUCCUUUUUCCAUUUGUUGCUUAUAUAAUGGAAAGAUUUAUGCCUAAACAGGGAGUUGUAAAACGGACACUGACUCUUGAGUGUGCCUGAAAUUGUUGUCUUUUUAUGCAAAAUCAUAAUUCUGUAUUGAGAUUUGCAUAGGCAACAAGCAUCAUAUUAGAAGACGCUUAUAAGUUAAAGGGUAACUGUAACUUUUCAGCUUGUAUAUUGAUGUGCAUCCAUGGGUGUGACUUGAAUUUCAAUCUUAGUCUUAAUGAAUAAUAAUCAUUUUAAUUACAUGCUUCUGAAUUAAAUCUCUUUCGUAUCUACUAAUUAUGUUUGUUACUGUUAGUGAAAUUCUGAGAUUCUUUUAUGGGAUUAUAUGUAAUAUUUAUGAACUAGCUUUUUGUAUAUGUUUAGAGACCACUAUCAUUUGCUAUUUCUCCAGAUAAGGUAAGCAAAAUUCUUUUGUUCUUUCUUUUUUUUUUUUUUUUUUUUUUUCCUUUUUUUUUUUUUUUCCUUUUUUUUUUUUUUUCCUUUUUUUUUUUUUUUUUUUUUUUUUUUUUUCCGGAAUUGGUAUUGCAGAUUGCUGAGCUGGUAUCUGCAAGGUCUUGCACUGAGGUAAAAUUCAGUAGAUUCCUUUGUUUAUUUCCUUAAUCUACUUAUUUUUGAGUAUGUUAGCUUUGUCCCUUACCCAGCCUUUUCUAUCUGCUUUGACACAAUUGUCUAGGUUUAGGACAAGUAGUGAACAUAGGAAUUUUAUUUUCCAACUUUUAGAAAAGGAAGGCAGAUUUGAUUUGUCCAUAAGAAAGCUUAUCAGGUCUUUACCUUAUGGUGUUUGUAUGUAUCAAUCUUCUAAUGACAUUUCCCUUUGAAUAACCCAUGUUUGGGCCCUCCACCCACUUACGACAUACUUUAUAUUACCAUGACUUGACCCCCCCUUUGAUGCCUUAUGUAUCAUUUUCUUGUAUCAUGCCUUCUUAUGGUCUUUUUGGUGCUCUGUGCAUCAUCCUUUCUAAAGGCUAUCCUUAAUGUUCAUAAUCACUCAAAUAGCUUCAAGCUUUAAUCUUUAUAAUAUGCAUGCGUGUUCACGUGCGCACUGAAUCUCAAUCUUCAUAUUUAGCAAUACAUACUAGAUAGUUUGGUGCUAUGCAUUAUGAUUGAAACCUAAUUUUCUGAACAAAACCAUUUUAGAUGUUAUUUAGAAUUGUAAUUCAAUUUUAUAAAAAGAGACCCUUAAUCUAUCUCAUUUUUCACUGUAGCAAAUCCACCAGUAAAUGUGUUGUAGCUCCAGUUUUACUCUUUGGUUUAGGUGGUAGAUAUGGACCCAUCCUUCUCCACGGCCAGCCUUGGCUCAUUUGCCUAAAAUAUUCAAACAAGAUAUAAAGUGUUUGGUUCUCAUUGCAUUAUAGUCUUGAAACAAUAUUAAGUACUCAGAACUUAAAAUUAGUAAGGUUCAGGGUCUGUAUCAUGUUAGACAAAAGAGAAAAUGACGGAUGCUGGCCUUUUACAAGCCCUUGCUAAUAGGGCAUUAUAAGGCUAUGCCAUUCGUUUGUUUAAGAAAGUGUUUCCAUACAUAAUUAGCAUUUACUUUUUUGCACUCAUCAAUAAAUUGCCUUAAAAGUUGAGAUUAGUUUAAUCAAAAUUAGUUAUUGUAAUCUUGAAUGGGCCUCAUUUAGUUUUUGUCUUGAUUCUGCCACUAAUGCUGCAAAAAUUGAGAGGCACUUGCAUGCUUUUCUAUGUUGAUAAUAUGAUUAGACAGAAGCCAAAACCAUAUAUCAACCUCCUAAUAAUUUGAGUUUUGCAAAUAAAAAGUGCAAUCUUGGGAGGAUCUUGUUUCCGUACAACCCAACUUUUGAUACUUUCAUAUCGACCACUAUUUUGUUCUAUAUCUUUCCAUUUCAUAUAGACAAUCAAUUCAAGUUUCAUGCUUGUUAAUCUCAUAUCUUCAGAUUCAAGGUUUUAAAUAACAGUUGCCGUGUAGUUGUGUUGUGUCAUUGUGUAGAGAUGAUGAUUCACUGUUACGAUUGGGUUGAUAUGCUACCUAACAGAGAUCUUCAAAACCAUGUUUAGAUUUACAAAAUCCUUCUUCCCUUUUGCAGUCAUCUACUGAAUUUCCCCUCAUGUAAUUAACGUACGUGAUUAAGUUGGAGAGACUUAGUGGUGAUGAAAUAGAGACUGCCUAAUCCUUCAACUGUGUUAAGCUUCAGGGUAAUUGUAUGAAAUGACAAGCUCUUUCAAUAAUUUCUUCCUUUAAAAAAAAAAAAGAGCUGAAAAAGAGUGGCAGGUGGUGGAUGUAGGAGUUAGGUUAGAAAGAGAUUUUGCUCUGUCCUUGCACAUACAGCAAGGAGGAAAUUACUGUAGAAUAUAUUAUUGCUCACUGUCCAAAGUCAAAAGAUUUUAAAAGAUUAGUGCAAAUGAGUUGAUAUAAUGCUUUGUUUCUCUAUCAAUUUAGUGGAAUAUCACUAAUCAUGCCACAAUCUGAGCAAGACAAAUCCAAUGGUAGACUUUUAAUGUUCUUGCAAUCCAGCCCCAACAACCGAAAAAGUAGAGAGAAAAUAAAGACAAAGAAACAUUACAUACUGUACAUACAGAGAAACAGCUUGGAAAGCAAAUAGCCAUAAGUAAAAACAGAAAUUGUAAAAUCUAGAACAUCAUCAAAUAUUCUUCUCACAACUUCUAAUAGUAAUAACAACAAAAAACCCAUCAACAGAGGAAAAUGUAAUGUACAUUCUCAGAUAGUGCCAUUGGAAAUUGGUGCUCCUAUUUUGAUGCUAUCCAUAUGUGUUGUCUCAUAAACUGGCAGACCACUUGAAUAGAUACCUAAAUCGUAGUUUUGUAACUCAAACAAAUCAGAACUUGAAUCACUUUCAGCUCCAUCAUCCACUUCAUUGAAUUUUCUAAAUUCUUUCUCUUCUGAUGGAUAUUGAUCUACCCAAAUCCUAUCUUUUUCUAUAUAUUUAAGACUUCCAAGAUUCUUGGAUUUCUCAGAAAAUCCAUCACUGAAUUUAAAUUUCUCAUCCAACCAAGACAAAUCUGCAAUCCUUUUAUCGUCCAAUAUCUCAUUCUGUAAGCCUGUAGAUUUCACAUUUCCAUUGUGCUUCGGCAAGGAAAUUACUUGUUUGUGAUCUGAAUAGCUUCUAAAAUCUUUGUAACUCUUUGUAGGAGUAUGUGCAUAAGGAGGAGGUGUUCUAAAACCAGAACUUGAAGAAGAAUACAAAGAUUUUGUAUCAGCACUACUUGAGCUUCGAAAAUGACUAAUGCUACUUCUUCUUUUCCUUCUUCCACUAGGGCUUUCAUCUUCAUCUUUCAUUGACUGUGUUGUAGACUUUGACUUUUUCUUUUUGGAACUUGUUUGAUUGAAAAGAGAAUUCAAGAAACUAGCAAGCCUGCCACCUGGAGAGCUUGGUUGCUUAUAUUUCUUCUCUUUCAAUAUUUGCUUUUCAACUGUCUUAGACUGUUGAUGAGGCAGUGGAGUUCUCAUUGGUACAUCUAAGCUCAUUCUUCCUCCCCUCCAUUGAUGUCUAUAAUCUUCUUUGAUAACUUUCUGUGUAUAACUUGCACCAUUAUAGCCUGAACCUUCAUUGUAUCCUGAAAAAUACCUAGCUGCCUCAAAAACAUCAAGCUCAUCAGAAUCGUUUCUGAGAUGAAAUGUUUUUUUGUAAAGUUUUGAUGUGUCUGAUGAUAGUCCUGUGAUGGACAUGGUUCUGAAUCUCAAAAGUGUUUGUUAUUUGUUGUGUAAAUUCUGUUUGGAAGUUAUUUCACAAGUUGUGAAAGGUACUCAUUUAUUAGAAGAGAAAUUAUAAGAGAGAGAGAUUGUAGAGAGCGAAUGGUUUUUUCUUUUUUUCUUUUUCUUUUUUGAAAUGAUUGAGAAUGGUGGUAAGGAUUUUGUUUAUAAUAAUAAAAUUUGAUUGCAGUGUCUAUGAUAUUAUAUGAUGACGGGGUGUUUUGGGGGAGACCCACAUUUGAUGUGAAUUUUGUGCUUUAUGGUUUAUAGAAGAGAAGUGGGGUACAAGGAAAACAUGCUUUUAUCCUUCACAUAUUGUGAAAACCAGAGGUCUCGUUAUGGAUGGUGGGUGGCAAGUUCCUGUGCUUCCUUGGAUUCUAGGUUUCUACUCUCUUUUAGUGGGAUUGGCUUUUGAGUGGGUGUUGGCUAUGGGUUUAUGGACAUGUACAAUAAGCUUACCUUUGCUCAAUUGCUUAUAUUUAUAUGUGCAAAUCAUCAUUAUGCAGUUGGAGAAUUUGGUAGAUCCUAAUUAACCUUUCUUUUGAGAGCUUGGAAGUCACUCUUUAAUUAUUUAGGAUGUAAUUAGUUUAUUUAUUUGCUGUAAAUCAAAUAUAUGGCCCAGUAAUGUCCUUGCCUUUCCUUUAGGGUGUGUUUGUUUUUGGGGCUUGAGUCUUUUGAUAGAGUUAGCAAGUUAUUGUUCAUCUAUAUAUAUGUAUAUAUAUUCUUUUGGACUAAUUUACGCACCUGUGGCGAUUAUAUUUUCUUUUCAAAUGAAUUUAAAAUAUAUAUUUUCAUAUAUAAUCUAUACAUUAUAUUUUCUUUUGAGUGGGUGUUGGCUAUGGGUUUCAAGAAUCAAACUCUAAUGAAAUUAUUAUUUUCUUUUCAAAUGAAAACUCCAAUUGAAAAUAUGUUCAGUGUGUAAUUUCAAGAAUUGGAUGAAUAGCGACUCAAAAUGACUAGCAAUAAGUUAGCUAGGGUUCAAAUUUCCACUAACGUAUUGGCUGUAAAGUUUGAGAUAUUAGUGCUUGGACUCUCAGUCCCUGUGGGGGAAAAGAUAAUCCUCUUGCAUAAUUUCAAGUGCUCUUUUCACAAUGUCCUUAUCAGUAUGCCAUGGUGCUUCUUUUUUUAGGUUAAAAAAGGAAAAGGUAAGUGGAAUUUGACACUAGCUAGAAUUAUGAAAGCUGAAGUUAGGAUGGAAUAUUUAUGUCUUAGUAAUAAAUUCAUCUUAACUUCACUCAAUUUUCUUAAAAAAGGUCAAAGCGUGGUUUAUUUAAUUUUCUCACGUUAUACGAAUAUUCUAACAAAUAAAAAUUUUAAUUGAAUCCUUUUUAUUCAAAAAAUUAUCAUUAAUUUAGUGAAUAUAAUUUAAAAUGGAUAUUCUUCAUACUAUAAAUUAAAAAAAAAUAAAUAAAUGGUAUUUGUACUUUUAAGCUGACAUACAUUCAAGAAGGAAGACAAAGAACAGGAAAAUUUCUGUAUAGCCACAUGCAUGUAACACUAUUUUGUUCAUGAUUAGUCUCUCUCAUAUUAAGAUUACAUAUGAACUACUGUGUAAUUACAUAUAUGUCCCAUCAACAAAGAGAAAAAGAAAUAUUUUUGAGUUAUAGGCACCUUUUAAAGUGCAAAAAGGAAUUAUUUCUACAUGCACAUGUACAUGUACAUGUACAUGUACAUGAAUUGCAAGCCACUUUUCGAAUUCUUCUUUUUUUGGUGUAUUGCACUAAUCUAUACAGAUUUUGUCCAUUAACCCAUCCCUUCGUGUUGGAGGAAAACAUAGGUUGUACAUGGUGGCAUGUACACGUGUAAGCCAACAGAAGAACGGAUCAGAAGUGCACACGUGACAUGCCUAGGUGUCAUACAUCCCAAAUAUUUGAUCCAUCACUGUAGAUAAAAAAAAAGAACCAGUAGGCAAUCUAAGUUAUUGAUGAUGACAGUUGCAUUAAGAUCAUAAGGUGUAGUCAAUUUUAGGUUAAAGGGACAUAGAACAGUCCUUUUUAAAAACACAGCCACCUCAAUUUUCCUUCUAACAAAAUCCAAAGUCUUACUGUCUUUUUCCAUGGCAAGAUCUGAAGUAAUCUCUUUUUCAAGUUCUUGUUAGAGCAAAGCAAUUAAAGGGUUCAAAGACCACACACUUGUAAUCUUGAUCGUGACUCAUUGUUUUCAUUCUUUGGUCUAAGGAAGUCUAACUCCUACUCUCAGGGGAGGGGACUGAUAGGGUUUUUAAUUUUUCUUUGUAUUAUAGUUCUGGUGUUCACAUGGGUCUCGUUGGCCUUAUUAGGGCCUGGACCAAAACCUAAUCUCCAUGUUUUCAUCAAUGAGAUUUCUUGAAGGGGAAAUAUAUAUGGUGAGAGAGGUUUAACCGUAUCAUGAGUCAUGAAUUCUGAUUUCCUAUAUUAAGAGAAAAUACUUGAUCACUGAGUUUUCUUAACACGAUUAACUUCUUUAAUUAUUACUAUCAUAAUGAUAUUAAAUCAAAAUUAGGGAUGAUCAUAUUUUGGUUUUGAAUUCAAUUGGAUUUAAACCAAUAUAAUUAAAAUCAACACCAAAACAUAAUCGAUGUUUCUAUAUUUCAAACCAUAACCAAAAUAGUAUCUAAAUUUGAUAUCAGUUCUUAUUAUUAAAAUCGAAAACCAUGUUUCCGGUUUCCAAAGAAAUUUUUAGUUUAUUUAUUUAUUAUUAUUACUAUUUUGAGAAAAAAAAUUAAGAUUUUUUUAUCUAAUUAGUUUAGUUUUUCUUUAAUAGUAACAUUUCCUAUUACUCAUUUAUAUUUUAAAAAUUGAAAAAAAUUAAAAAAUUUUGUUUAAUUUCGAUUUUAAGCUGGAACCAACGGUUCUAAAAAACCUUUUCGAAAAUCAUCUAAAACUAAUUCGAUCAUUCUUUAUAAUUGGCGUCAUGCCUAAUCAACAUUAUCAUGUUAAUUAGGUAUACAAACGUGCCUCAAAUGAAGAGUUCACACUGAAAGAACAACAUUGUAAAUGAUGAAUUUUUUUUAUUUUUCUGUAUUUUAAUUGGAUGUGAAUUCUUGAUUUUCUUCUAAGAUAGAUAUUUGAAUCCCUAGUUAUUAACUCAUUGAAUUGAAGAUAUUCCAUUACUGAGUUAUUAUCCUAAAAAAUAUUGAAUGGAGAUUAUUACAUUAGGGAAGUAGAAACCACAAAUUAUAAGAUAAAAGAAAGUAGCAAAACCCCAUUUAACCACAUGCCUAAUGUGCCUCAAUCUAAGGUCCAGGAAGGACCUACCCAAAGAAGCCAGACUGGCCUCUGUCCACAAGUAAUAGUAUUAGGCCACUUGUUACAGAUUAGAAUGAAAUUGCAAUGGCCAAUGAAAAUUUGUCGCUUCUCAGAAUCUUUAGCUAAAAUCUACAUCCCAUUUAUAGCCAAUUUGUAUAUAAUCUCAGAAAGAUACAUGUUCUCUGUUUAGUUGCUUUCUUUUAUUAUCCACCACUCCUUAUAAAAGUUACCUUCCAUGGUCUUCAUUAUUUGAUGAGUCCCAUCUCUCCAUUUAAUGCCUUAUUUCCAUCUUUUCACUUGAAAAAUCUUUGAUUGAACAGAUUAGAAAUGAACCGAAAGAGUUGGUGUAGUGUGCACUUCUUAUACAUAUAGACUUAUUAGUUGUUUCGGCCUUAGAUGCAGAUGCUGACCCAAACCCUUAUUUUGAUUCACUUAAACUAGUUUUAGCCCAUCAAAAGGUCUUUGAUUUAGGUUUCAAAGCCCAAUUAUUGGGCCCACUGGACCCACUAUUGUUCCUUGAGAAUCAGACAACAUGGACCCCAUUGCCCUAAAGCUGUCUCCUAAGCUCUCCCAAAGAAUUAAUACUCAUUGCUGGCUUCCAAUCUCCAAUUGUUGGUUUGUGAAUAAAUAGGGCAAGUUUUAUCAUGGAGAUAAGAGAGAGAGAGAGAGAGAGAGGAGAUAAUGAGAUCAUUUGGGUAUGUGGGUAUAUGUUGGAAUGAAUUUGAUUGGCAACUAUAUAAGGUAGAGAUUUUUUUUUUUUAAAAAAAAGAAAAAUCCUUUUCAGUAAUAAUGACUGUGAAACCCAUUUGAUGAUUUGACACUUUGGUUUAUAUAAAGCAAAGCUGUUCAAGAACUUGGUCAUUCUCAAGAACAAGAGUAGUGUAUGUCCAAACUUUAUAGCCAGCCAAAACACACAUGGUAUGCCCAUUUAAAACUCAGGUGAGGACGUAAGUUCUCUUCAAGUAAAGGGUUACCCUUAACCACCCACCCACCCACCCUUCAUUUUCUUUGUUUUGUGUGUGUGUGUAAUAUAUAUAUAUAUAUCUAGGAUUUCAUUAAUAACUUACAUUAAUGAAAUAAUAUGCAUACUACGAGACAUUAAUGAAAGAAAGAAAACAAAUGAUAGAACUUACAUUAUGAUGUAUAGUACAAAGUAAAACUGAGUGUGAAGACACAUUUCCAUUGGCUUCAAUUCAUAGUGUUUCCAAUGUGGAAGUGGUGAUGAUGAGAUGAGGUCAAUUUAAUAAUUGAUCUCUCACACACAAACAAAUCCAUAAACUUGUGAAAAAAAAAAAAAAACAUAAUUUCUUGUUUUGACUCUGCCCUGUGUGAUUGCUUAAUGUACGUACAAAGCAAUUUGGGCCAUGCAGGCUCACAAUAUUAUAAUUGCUUCUUUGACUGUCCUUUUCGUGAUUGCUGAAUGUACAGCAAAGCAAUUUGGGCCACGCGGACUCAUAACAUCCAUCAUUCGUUCUUGACAAAUAUUUCAUUUCGGCCCAUUCAGAUUCAAAAAAAAAAAAAGGUAAAAAAAAAAAAAAAUUAUUUUAAAUGGCCCAUGCAGGUCUCGAACCUGCGACCUUGGCGUUAUUAGCACCACGCUCUAACCAACUGAGCUAAUAGGCCGGCUGUUGUAAAAAUUUCCUACAAGCUAAAUCAGAAAUACUUUUUGAAAUAAUUAAAUAAAUGCUUUAAAAAGUUCUCCUUACGAUAUAUUCCGCGAGCCCAAUAGCAACCAAUCAUCUUGCCUAUUUAUCCCAAAUUUUCUGUUCCCUUUCGAGAUAGUUCAAAAUUUUAUACAAAUUCCAUUGUCAGUGGAGGUGGCAAUUCCUUAUCCGAAUCUAUAAGUUUACUCUUAUUUUUUGGUAGAUCCACCGAAUAUAAGUUUUUUUAAUUAUUUAAAAAUUUGAUAAAAGAAAUAAUCUAAUCAAAUUGAGGUUGUUCACUUAUAGCUUAAUUUUUAUAUAAUUUUCUAAACUAAUACUUGAAAUGGGAUAGAGAGAGUAAUCAAAAAGUCUGAUUUUCUGCUCAUCUUUUGUAAAACAGAGAAUGCCUUCCAUGGCCUUAUGAUGUACAUAUGAAUAGUGCUGUUUAAUUAGAGAGUAGAGAAGCAUAUAUUCUCUAUAUAAAUUGAAAGAGUUAAAUGUAAAAAAAGAAAUAUUUCAUUUUUCUUCCUUAAUUUAAAACAUAAAUUUAGGUUGGUUCUAUCCUUUCUUUGGUUUAAUAUUUCACGUAAUUUUCCUACAAAAAUAUUUUUCAUUUAUGUAAAAUCCGAAUCGCAUAAAAUGGUUAUCCUUUCUGUUCUUAUCGGUUUCUUUUUCUUAUACAGACAGUUUAAAUUGUAAUCUUAAACGCGAAUCAUGUUCCUUUAUCUAAUUUGGUUGAGGGUUUGUUUUAUCUGUGAUCUUGGACAGAAGGAAUAAAGCAUGCAUGAGCACUUUUUUUUUUCUUUUAUCAAAAUAUCUUAAAAGGGAAUAGUAUGUCAAGUUAGUCUACUGAGAUGUACACAUUUUGUAGGACAAUGUAAAUUGCUAGUUAAAGAUUUCGUUUGCAUGUUUCUAUAUGUACAUAUUACUUUGGUUUUUAAUUUUUUAUGGUUAGAUGUUGAGCGCUCUCUCGUAAUGUCAAAUGUAAUUUUUGUGGGUGAAUUUAGUAUGAAUUUCGAUUAGUCAGGUUGGUCGUGAGUCUCGGAUAUGCCAAUAUGAUUAUUUUUCAUGUGAAUAUGAUUAGUAUUAUAAUUCAUAAUAUGCCAAUGUUCCUCUUCCAAAUGUAUUACUAAGAUAAUCUUUGUGAUUAGGGAAAAGCAUUAUUAUUUCAAUUCUAUAAUACUUGUCACAUUUAAAAUUUUACGUUUUUUAAAAUAUCAUUAAAUUUAUCUAAGUUGCAAUAAAUUAUUGAAUAAAUUGAUUAUAUUACUCUUAAUUUAAUUCUAAUUUUUAAGAAAACCAUUAAAUUAAAGUAAUAGUUAUUGAUCGUAUAUAAAGGAUAAAUAUGAAAAGAAAAGAUUUAUUACUAUAAAUGUAAUCAAUAUUUUAAAACAAAUUAUUUUAAAUUCAAAUUUAAUAUAUGAUUUGCAUUAUUAUUUCUUUUUCUAAAUUCAACUCUGUCAUUCUCAGUAUAGUUAAAAAAUAUGAGAGGAUCAAUCACACCUGACAUUAGCUAUUGUUAUUAUUUGCAUUAAAUAAAAUAAAAUAAAAUAAAUUCGAGCGAGUGACACAUGUGACAACCCUAAAGUCCGAGGUUGACAGAUUGGGCAUUAGAGUUUGGACAAUAAAUUAAAAGUGAAAUUCUGAUCCAGCGGACAAGAGAAAAGGGCAAUUGAUGCUAUGCAACCAGUGACAAGUGGACACGUAAAGGAAACAGUAAGUGUUGUCAUUACUGACCGGUGACUGAAAGGCUUUCUCUUGGUUCAGUCUAAUGGUGUUUUAUAGUACUGCGAUGAUGCCCUUAUGGGAAUGGCUGCCCCUCCCUGCCCUGCCUGCCUACGCUAAAUCAUGCAUUAUGGUUAUGGACGCUCCAUUUCUAUACCUAUCUAUCUCCUUUUUCCUGACAAAUAUAUAUAUAUAUAUAUAUAUAUUAUUUCAAUCCUUGCUGGAAAUUCGAAAGAGGAGCAAUUCUUUUCUCUUGAAUUCUAAAUAAUAAUAUAAACGGUAUACCGGCGAACACUGUAUAUAUGAUAAUAUUAAAAAAAUUUACUUAAAAAUACAAUUUAUUUUUACUUAUCAUUUGGCAUCUAUAUUUUUUUUUUGAGGGAAAAAGAAAACCUCUCUCCCUUGUAAUAAAUUGAUGGAGAAUGGAGAGUUGCAUUUUUCUGAUACAUGAUAUGAUUUGUCGGAUACGUGGGUAGCUCGCCAUCCUUAUGUGACGCCUCUGAUUCUGAAAUGUCCCCCAUUUUCUUCAUGUAAUUUUCAAUUCAGUUGCAACUUUAUUUUUACAGAAAUUUUGUUUUGUUUAAAUAUGUUAAUGACGUAAAACUAUAUAAAAUUUUUUAUAAUAUUUUCUUUUUUUAGUUAGAAAAUAAAAACAAUAACUAUAAUAUUCAUAAACAAUUCCAAAAUUAUUUUUUCCAUCGAGCUAUAUGUUUUCUUAUAGCUUAGCUUCUUCCAAAUUUUAAUUAAUUGGUCUUCUUCUUCUUCCUCUUAGAUGCUGACUGAUGGAUUCCUGGACUAGAUAACUAUGUACCGGGGAGCAUUUUUAAGUCUACCUGUCGAUUUUUAACAUUUAACGUAUAUAAUUUUAUUAAUUGAAAUUUACAGUUAUAUAAAUAUGAUAUAUAACCAACAUGAAUUUUUAUUUUUAUUUUCAACUCAUUUAUUCUUUUGUGCUUAUAUUUUUAAAUUGUUACAAGAUAUGAAAGAAAAAACUCUUUAUUUUUUCAUUUCCUCAAGUUUUUUUAUUUUUCUAUAACAAAAUUAAAACGAAGACAAAAUUGUACGAAUGCAAUUUAAAUUUUUUAACAAAAUAAAAAUAAAAUAAUAUGAAGAUUUUUAAAUAUUUACGGUCAUAAUUCUUAUAGUACUUCUUUGAAUUAUUUCAUAUAUAUAUAUUUUUUAUAUUUAGAAAGUGAUAAUAACCUUGCAUUGCAUAUUUUUGAAAGUUAUUUGUUACUAUUCCCUCGCUCUAAGAGUAAAUUAAUCAAAUUUAAUUUAAUUUUGUAUUUAAUAUUAAAUUUAUAAUGAAAUUGACUUAACUUUAAUAUAAAAUUAUUUUGGUUGGUUCAUCCUUUUCAUUAUAUGUCAUUUAUUUAAUUUGUAUUUAACCAAUAUGGGAUUAUGCACACACUUCAAUGGAAAUUAUUGAAAUUUAAUUUUACUUUUACCAUUAUUAUCUGAUUUGGAUCGAAAAACAAAAAACAAUUAAGCAUAAUACACCGAUACAUUAUGAUCUAGCAAUAGAUCCAAAUUGUAAUUUUAUCUUCGUACUAAAAGAAAAAAGGCAUAGAUAAGAUGGGUUUACUGCCAGCUUUGCAACACGUAUGUACUAUGCCCUUUUGGGUUGCUUUGACCACUGAAAAUAUAUAUUUUUUUGUAUUAUACCCAUUAAAAUUUUGUUACCAUAUUAAAUAUUAUACUUCAAAAAUCUUCGAUUGCUAACUAUAAACCUUUUUUUUUUAAUUUUUUUUAAACUAUAAAAGCCUUUUCUUUUAGAAAAAAAAAAAACAAUAGUGAUGCAUGAUUUUAGCCUUUUUUUUUUUUUGAUACAAACUAAAAAAAAAAAAAUUGUCCAAAUCUUACAAGCUUAAACCAAUAUGGAUAAUAUAUAAAAAAAAAAGUUACAGGACUUUGUAUUAAAGUUUACUUUUGAACAAUUACUUCUGGGGAUUGUAAAUCUAUUAAUUUUUAUUAAAUUCAAUAGUUAUUUAUUUAUAAGUUUUUGAAUUUUUCAAUUAUAUUUGAAUAUAAGAUUUACUUCCGCGGUUUCAUAUUAAAAAAAUUGUGGUUUUCUUUCUAGAUUUGAACCCGAGUUUGAGUUCAACUCUUUCAUUUAAAGAGAUUAAUGAGUAGGUACGAGCUUAGCUCAUUAAUCUUAUUGACUAAGGAACUUUUUUCAAGCUGAAUACUAAAUAAUUUAUAACAGAUUUGACUCGUCUACAACUCGAAAUAUAAAAAUCCACUGAGUCACUAAUUUAAUGACGCACCAACAACCGAGGACGCUUUAUAAUAAAGACAAAUUGACGAGUCAUUUGGUUGAAGAGCAGUUGCUGUAUAGGCUGGCUGAUAAAAUUGAGAACUCAUAAUCAAUAAUGGUAUGAUUUUCACCAAAGAAGCAUAUAGGGACAGUGUACUAAAGUUUUCUUAUUGUAUAUAAUACAGAUUCAGAGUGUCUCUUUACUUAAUAUUUAUUGGAAGACCAUAAUCUAGGAAUUCACAUGGUUAAGAUUUAAUUUUGUUAAAAAACAUAUAAAAUAUUUUGUUUUUUCAAUUUUUAAAAUUAAUUUAAUUAAUAAAUGAAUAUAUCGUUAUCCAUUUUCCACGUUAAUAUUUAUUUAAAAUCUGAUUUUGCUUUUGGAUUUAUAAAAGGGAAAAUUAUAAAUAUAAUUCCAUAUUAUGUUAAAAUUAACUACUUUGUUCUCCUAUAUUUUAAAAUACACUAUUUUGCUCAUAUGUUUUUUGACUAUUAUACAUUAUUGUUGUUUAGUUAAAAAUUUUCAAUUUUUUCAUUGAAUAGCUUGUGAAAUGAUAUAAAUACCUUUAAAUUUUUAGUAAAUUUAAAUUUAAAUAAAUAUAAGAAAAAUAAAAUAAAAUGCAUUCCAGCAUAAAAAAUUAAAACGAUAACAACUCCUCCCUUAGGCUUCAAAAUAAGAUUCAGAAAUGAAAAACAAUUCAAAGGGUGAACCAAAACGAAGAUAAAAAGAUACAUUACUCUUUUCCUUUAAAUUUAACAGCAAAAGAAAUAAAAAUAUUAACGAAAAGAUGAAAUAGUUGGACGAAAUGAAUAUAUGGGAAUAAAAUCUUAUAUUUUGAGAAAUAGAGUUACAAAAUAAUUAAUUUAAAUUUAAUAUAGGAACAAAUUUAUAAUUUCCCCAUUUAAAAACCCUAAGAUAAGACUGAAAUAAGUGUAGGUCUAUAUAUCUAUCUUGAAAAAGAGGGUAAAUUUAUAAUUUUAUUAUUAUUUUUAGGUUUGUUUGAAGAGAUAAGAAAUUUCGUGAAUAUAUAUAUAUUAUCAAGGACUAGGUAAUGCAAGAAUUUCUGUAGCAAAUCAGAAUAGGAAAGAAAAUAUAAACAAAUGUGAAACUUCUUUUCAGGAUGUAUUUUAGAACUAGGAAAACAGCUAGCCAAUGGGGAAAUGCCCAUGAAAGAAAUAAAACAAACAUAUACCAAAAAAAUAAGUGGGGGAGAAUACCUACCUAAAAGCAAGAAAGUGAAAAUAAAUUGAACAGAGGUAAUACUUUGAUAGUAAUAGUAAGCUUGUUCUUUUUCUGGCCAAGAAAAUCUGUACAAUCUAAUAGCAAAACUAAGCCCAAUCAGCAGCUACAAGAAAGCAUAAACCUAAAUUUAAAAAGAAAAGUUCAAAAAAAAAAAAAAAAAAAAAAAACAUAAAGAGCCCCACAUUGUCUUCCUUUUCCUCUCUCUCUCUCUUUGAUAUUCCACUAAAAGGGUAUCGUUUAUUCAUUAUCUUACUGUACCAAAGCUAAUGUCUGGCUAUUAAACACCUAUUCUGAUAAAAGACGAACCAUUUCUUGCCCUAGGAAUAAGGAGGAAAGAACAAGAAAAAAAAAAAAGAAGCAGCACAUAGAUAUCUAGGUGCAGCGAUACAUAAAAAAAUGGGGAGAGGAAGGGUAGAAUUGAAGAGAAUUGAGAAUAAAAUAAAUCGACAAGUAACAUUUGCCAAGAGGAGAAAUGGGUUGCUUAAGAAAGCUUACGAGCUAUCUGUUCUUUGCGAUGCAGAGGUUGCUCUUAUCAUUUUCUCUAAUCGUGGCAAGCUUUAUGAGUUCUGCAGUACUUCUAGGUAUGAUGCACCUACCCAAUCCUUUUGCUUCUUCUUUUUUUCUUUUCCUAUUUUAUUUUAUCCGAAUUAAUGCUUUUAGGAUAAUAUUAUUUAUUUAUUAUUUUUUUUGUUCAAGUUUUGGUCUUUGAUGUUUUGUUUAAUUUAUGCUGUUUCUUUAUCUCUUUUAUAUUUUUUUUAAUUGGUUAUUAUUUUUUAUUUUCUUGGUCAAGGUUUCUGUUCCUUGGAGAUCUGAGUACUAAAGAAACCCUUUUCUGCAUAUAUAUAUAUAUAUAUAUAUAUAUAUAUAUAAUAUAUUCCCAAGAAAAGAAUAACUUUCAGCUUAAUGUCUAAUUGCAAGUAAUUGUUCAAAUGAAUUUCCUAAAAUAUUAUUCAUAGCGCUGAGUUUGCUGUUUAUUAUUAGUACUGUUACGAUUCAUAUCUGGAUUGAAGACCCAGUUGCUUAAUUGGAAGUGAAAAUAUUUUAAAUUCUAUGAUUCCAAGAGUAGCUGUUGGAUUUAUUUCUUGUCUGAAAAGGAAUUAGAUAUUUGUGGAUUAAUUUCCUAAGUGCAAAAAAUAAAAGACAAGAAAAGAAAAAGGGAUUCCUUAUACAAAUCAAAAGAUGCUAACUUUCCUUUAAGAGUUGAGAAUAAAUACAUGCACUCAUAUCUGUUUUCCUUAGUUUAUCACUGUUUAUUUUUAUUGCAAAACCCAAUACUGAAGAAAUUUUUUCACAAUAAAACUUCUAUUUGAUUUAGGAGCAUUAAGUGCAAUGUUCAAGUAAAUUAACCUUUCUUCUUCUUUUGCCUUUUUCUUCCAAGAACCAGUGCUUUCAUUACGAGCCUUUGAUAUCCUCUCCUCCUUGUUACAUACUGACCAUUCAUUUACAAUAUUUCUAAUUUGGUUGGUUGUUUAAGCUACUCAGUUAUAUAUAUAUAUAUAUAUAUGUAUAUUAGAGUUAUUCAUGCUUUUAUUUUUAAUUCUACAUUUAUUAUUUGGUAAAUUUUAUAUUUGUGCAUAAAUAUAUAAGGACAAUUUAGCGGUUCAACUAGGUUUAUUUACUGCCAGUGAAGUUGGAUUUUUUCUUUUUUCUUUUUUUUUUUUUCUUCUGGUGGGUGAAUAGACGAGCACAACAAGUGUAUGCGUGUGCGCGAGAGGGAGGGGGAGAGAGCGUAAUAGGCAAUUCAUUAGUUUUAAUGUAAUUUGAGAAUUAUGUACUUACAAGUUUAAUUUAAUGAUAAGCGCAUAUUCAAUUUGGAUAAAAAUUUAGACUUUUCACUUAGCAUUUGAAAAAGAUAAUUUGAGAUUGUUAAUUUUAUUGUAAUUUCUUAUUUAUACUUUUAUCAGGAAAUGAAGUUUCCAAAAUAGGAUGAAACUAAAUAACAUAAAGGAUGUGGACAAAUGAUAAAUUUGGAAUUAAGUGGGGAGAAUGACAACUAUAAAAAUUAAACCAAGAUGGAUGAAAUGCAAAAAACUAAAAAUAUAACAAGAGAGUUUCAUGUGAAAAAGGAAUUUAAGCUAGAAAGAAAUAACAUGUUCAAAAAAAUUUGCAGACCAAAAGUAAGGAGUUUAUGAUGAAUGUAUUGAGAUAGAAAAAUACAUUAGGUAAGGACUGAGUGCAUGAAUAAAAGGGAGUGAUGUUGAGAGAAGUCGAGAGAAAAGAGAUUGAAGUGAUGGAAAAUAACGAAGUAAUGUGCCCUAGUUCCUAGAUCAACAGAUUGUUUCCUUCAUUAGAAAAAAAAAAAGAAGCAAACUUUCACUAAUUAUUAUUGAAAUAAAGCAAAUUUUCAAGAAUUCAAAUAACAGGCUAUAAGCAAAACACAACUUUGAUAUGAUUAGGCAAAUCAAGCCAAACUCUAGGCUAGCAUAAAAAGAAGAUGAACAACCUUGUUGGCUAGCCUACAAAUCCAUAACAAAGACGUAUUAUUGUGUUGGCUUAAUAGAAUAACAAUAAGAGAUAAAAGUACCCCACUUAAAAAAAUCAAUAGCAUUAGCUUAAACAACAUUACAUACAUCCCUAGUAAUUGUCUAAAAAGUUUUUGGUAUCUUUGCGAGUAUUCUCAUAUCCUUUGUAUUUAAAAUCAAUUUUGUUUUAAAGCUCGUGGUUGCUCCUCUCAUGAGUGUUUUUUUAUGGUUUGAACAUUCGACCUAAGGAAAUGUUUAGAUUAUUGCAAUUUAAUUUUUGUUGCAAUAAUUAGUUUGUGAAAAUUCUUUUUAUUAUAUAUAUAUAUAUGUUCAUGCUUUGUUCUCUUGCUCUCAAUGUGGAAAAUUUUAACUUGAACUUUGGAGGAAAAUGUUUUCCUUAGAUAUACAUGUAGCAUAAUAAAUGGAGGUGAAAGAAUUCUCUUCUAGAUUAUGUUUAUGUGAUUUUUUUUAUUCCUACUGUCUUGGUUUUGUGUUUGCCUUCUCUCAUAUAUAGUUGUGCUUCCCUUACCUUUCUCUCUAUUUACCUAAACAAAUACUUUUAAUAACUCAUUUAUUUUCUAAAAUAUAUUUAAAUCCAAGGCCGCCUUCAUUAAAAUGAUAUUUCCUUAUUCAGUAUAUUUUCUAUCCUUCUACACCAAUGCAUAAAAAAAUAAAAAUAAAAAAAAUAAAAAAAAAAAAGAAGAGAGAGCAUUGAAUACCGAUAAUUUCUUUGCAACACAUUUGGGAAUCUUAAAUAUUGAGAGAAAUUUGGCCAAAGUGGUUUUUUUUAUAUAUAUUUAUUAAUAGUAUAUGUUAAAUCUAUUACAUGCAAUAUUUAUUAUACUAAUAUGUUCGUUACUCAUUGCUAGACCAUAAUUCUACAAAUUGUAGUUUUUUUUUUUUUUUUUGAAAUUUCAGUUUCUAGCAUCCUCACUAGUCAUUAUUAUUAUUAUUAUUAUUUUUAUUGUUAAUUCAUAGCAUGGCAAAAACAAUUGAGAAAUACCAGAGAUACAGUUAUGGAGCAUUGGAAACCAAUCAAUCUGCACAAGAUACCCAGGUAGAUAUAUCCUUUAUUUUUAUUUUAAUGCACAAAUAAAGCUGCAAUUGGUUUGAUAGUAAGUUAUUCAAGUUUAGUAUCAAGUCUUAAAUUUUGUUCAAACUUAUUUUAUCCAAAUUUUGAAUGAGUUCGAGCUCGUUCAUAGCCUUUUCAACUGAUUGAAGUUAUGAAUUUUGAUAUUUUGCACUAUCUAAUAUCUAGUAAUCGUAAUAUUGUAUAUUCUUUGAAUAAUAUUUAUAAACAUUUCUUUUUUGUUUUAAUUGCUCAAACAGAGAUGCUACCAGGAAUAUUUGAAGCUAAAAGCAAACGUGGAGGUCCUGCAGAGCUCACAGAGGUAAUUAAACUCUAAUUAUUUUUUUGAAUAAUUAAUUAAUAAGUAAUGCACCAAAUCAAAUAAUUAAUUAGAACAUUUUAUUGUUUGAUUUUAUAGAAAUCUACUUGGGGAAAAUUUGGGAGAUCUGAGCACAAAAGAUCUUGAGCAGCUUGAAUACCAACUUGAUUCCUCAUUGAAGCAAAUCAGGUCAAGAAAGGUAAGAAACUGUGAUUUUAAUCUUGCUGCCAUAACCAGUAACUCUAUCCUAUAUAAAUCCAUAUUUUUAUAGUUUUAUCAAAUUAUAUUUUUUCAAUCCCAAAAAAAAAAAAAAAAAAAAAGAGUAUGUUGAUUAUAUCAAAACCAGAAAAAAAAAAAAUUUAGUUUAUCAUAGGUAGGGAUUCUAUUGCUGAAAUAAUAACCUCUAUACGAAAUACUAACAUGAAUAGAAAAUGAACUGUUCGAAUAACAUCUACUAAUAUCAUCGAAAACAUUAUUAAAAUACUUUUACGAGAAGGUUUUAUUGAAAAUGUCAGGAAACAUUAGGAAGGCAACAAAACAUUUUUAGUCUUAACCCUACGACAUAGAAGGAAGAUGAAAGGGCCGUAUAAAACUAGACUAAAUUUAAAACGAAUCGGCCCACCUUGUGAUUUUAAUCUUGCUGCCAUAACCAGUAACUCUAUCCUAUAUAAAUCCAUGUUUUUAUAGUUUUAUCUAAUUAUAUUUUGUCAAUCACAAAAAAGAAAAAUUACUAAAUAUUUUAAUUAGCACAAUUGAAGUUAUGCAAAUAGCAAAAAAGAAUAAAGAAAAGGAAAGUGGGUAAUACAAGUAACCUUUUUCUUGAGAAAAGUGCUAAUGUCAUUGUUAAGUGUCACACCCUAAUGGAAGAUCAAUUAGACUGUUGAGAAGAUUCCCGAGAAAGAUUUUCCUAAUCCAACACAGUAAUUCCAUAAUUAUAUGUUAGUCAUUUGUAUGACUUCCUGCACCGCCAAACCCGAAGGUACAAAAAAAGUCAAUUCAACUAUUUGACAACAUGUCUUGUGAUAAGUUUAUAUUAUGAGAAUAUCAGAAAAUAAUAAUAAUAAUAAUAAUAAUGAGUGAUUUUAUGUGAUAAGAUAAACAAUUUAUAUGGCGAGAAAAAAUAAAAAUAAAUGAGGUGUCUUAUUAUUUGACACUAUAAAUUUAGACGAAAUAAUAUAUAUGAGUGAAGUAAUAUAUAUGAGUUGAUGGUGGGUUUAUUCAUAGAAAACUUGAUAAAGUGAAAGAUUAUCUAGGGUUAUACGGUACGAAUAAUCCUUCCCCGUAAAUAAUGUUCACAAAAUUAGAGAUAAGCAAUCAGAGACUUUUCGCUUCUCUUAUCCUUCAUAAGACAUUUGACAUUUAGAUUAUACUUAUUGUCAACUGUUACUGUCAUUUACUGUAUCAAUUAAUUAAAACAAUGAAUUAAUGGAGAAAAAAGUGAACAAGCUAUUAAAUUUAACAAUUAUUUAAAGGUCAAAUACAUCGUGGUUUCACUCUUGAAUUUUAUUUCUUGUGGCAGCCUCAAUUUUUAUUUUCACUUAUCAAAUGCUUCAAUUUAUAAAAUUACACUUAUUAUACACUUCAACUUGUAAAAUUAUAUUAAUUAAACUCCUAAUUAAAUAGUUGCAAAAUGUGAAAAUUACUAUCACAAAAGUUAUGCUAAUUAAAUCAAUAUUUUGCAUAAAAAAGCCAAAAACCAUAAAAAUUAUUGCUGUUAAUAUGAAAAUAUGUGUAAUAUUAUCAAAAUUUAUGAAUUCAAGUGCAAAUAUAUUAUGCACAACGUUCAGACUACCAAGACAAUAAAAUUGCAAAGUUCACAAGUGAAUUAUUUACUUUGCUAAUAUUUAAAUCCAUUAACUUGUUAACAAUUUGAAAAAUGGAAGGAUUUUCCAUAAAUGACUUAAUACAUUUUAAUAUGUGAGUCAUAACCUUUUAGCCUUAUUUAAUUUUUCUGUUAGAGAUAUUUAUUGCUUUGGACAUGAUAAAGUGAACUUUCAAGAGUAAGCAAAGAUCUUAUAAUGCAUGUGAAAUUCCAAAUUAACGUAUUCCUGUAGUUUUACAAGAUAAUUAGAAUGGUGGGACUUGCACCAAUCUCUCAUUUGAAUAUUCUUGUUCAAUUUUGCAGACACAAUUUAUUGUUAAUCAACUUUCUGAACUUCAAAGGAAGGUAACAUAUAUAUAUAUAUAUAUAUAUAUAUAUAAUUCCGAAAUAAUUUCUGCCUUGUAUUUUUGUGCUACAAACAAAAUGAAUUUACUUCUCUUGCAGGAAGAAUUAUUGCUGGAAACCAACACUGCUUUAAGGAAGAAGGUAAGGCACUUUCAACUAGGUUUCUAAACCCAUGCAUGUUAUUUGAUUUAAAUUUCUCUCUCUAUAUAUAUACACACGGUAGAUAGUGUUGUUGGUUUGGGACGAUGUCUUUAUUCAAAAUGUAAAACUUGAGCAAUCCUCAUUCUUUUGAGCUAAUUUUUGGAGAGUGAGUUAGACUCGAUCCAUUUUGCAAUAUAAUAUCAGAGCCUGUCAUGCUUCAAUGUUAGGCUACUUAUAAAUUUCACGCUCUAAAUGUUCAUACCCGGCGAGGGUCCAUUACAAACUACUUAUACGGUAAGAUCUUGUCUUAUGGACAGUUGGAGGAAACAAAUGCAGCACUUGAAUCAUCAUGGGAAGGUACAGAUCAAAGCGUUCCAUACAACUGCCAGCCUCCUCACUCAGAGGGUUUUGUUGAUCCUUCGCUGUGCGAUAGUAAUUUGCGAAUUGGGUAAUCAAGAUUUUUACUUAAUACAACUUUUUUUUUUUUUUCCUUCAAUUACACAUAUAAUUACUUUCAUUAUUUCUUGUUAAUUACAGUUACAAUGCGGUGGAAACAGAUAAAGUUACUGUUGCAACCACAGGACAAAAUGUUGAUGGAUUUAUUCCAGGGUGGAUGCUUUAAUUUUUUGUUGAAAAAUUAAAGAAAUUGCACUGUAGAAACAAUAAGUGAACAGAAUAAGUAGAGAAGUGUAUAUGAUUGCUCAUAAUUUGGCUUCUUGGGCAAUAUUUAUUAUAGAUGCCUUUAUUUAGUGAUUGGAUAAACUUCCUGUAAUAAUCAAAUUUUAUUGUUCUACUCCAUUUGGUUAAACCAAAGUUUGUACUUGAAUAUUUGUUAUUAUUAUAAAGUUUUUGUAACCAUAUACUUGUAAUUUGUAAAUAUUAUUUGUAUGCAUUUGGAUUUUUUCUGCAUAAUUUAUUUAUUUAUUUUUUAAUUUUCAACCCUUCCAUUAAGAAUAAUCAAGUCACUAUACUUUAAAUUGAAUAAAUAAUUGACUGAUCCAGUAUUUGCCUCACGUUUAUUAUCGACGGCUUACAUUAUUAUGAUGGCUCGAUUUGGAUAACUUAUGUCAUUUUCUGCGGUAUUAAUUUAGGGUCAUGUGGGUUCAUAUGUCAAUGGUUUAGGUAUUAAAUUGUUGCAUGUUCUAUAUGUACUUGUCAUUUUCAACCAAAACAGAACUUCCCGUAGGCUCAAAUCUUCUGUCAAGGCAGGACAUAUGAUGAUGAUGAUGAUGAUGAUGCGCAUGGACCGUUGAUUAUCAAUAACAUAAUGCAUUAGAUAAUAGUUAUCUAUAUGUGUUAUGUUUUUAAUGUGGAUUGCCUAAUUAAUACUGCAAUUAGUCUUAAGUAAUGUUCAUAUGAUUACUAACCUUUCUUUCAAAGGUUUCGAAUCAAAAUGCAAAAGUAUUUGGGCUUGACUUGAUUUGAUUUGAAAGGAUUGCUUUAACAUGUCGGUAGGUCAAUUAUUUAUUAUAGAAGAUAAAAGAAAAGCAAAAUAGGAGCAUGAGAGGAAAGGAAAGGAUAAUGAUAAAUUCUAUUGAAGUGACUGAAGCACAUUAUAGUAACAAUAAUAAUUACUAUUGUUUCUAUAUUUACAAAAAAAAAAUAAUAAUAAUUACUAUUGUUUUUAGUUAAGGAAUAAUUAAUUUAGAAAAAAUAUAAUAAAUAUAUUUAUAAAUGUAAAUAAAUAAAUAAUUGACUUAUUACAUGGAGCUAAAUGACCACAAGCACCGUGAUUGUAAAGAAAAUAACUUUUUUUUUUUUAAAUUUAUCAAUAAUCUAAUUUAUUUAAAUUAAUUACAGUUUUAACAAAUGCUUUGGGUAACCUUCGUGUUAGUUUAAUUUGAAAUUGUUGAAUUUAAUUUUGAAAAUCCACCCAAGUUAAUACCUAAUUUAUUGCCUUCGAGUUAGAUUUCAAUUUUGACUCGAUUUAAUUAAGUUAAAGAACAUAAUAGAAAUCAACUCGAAGUCAUUGAUCUAAGUUGAUUCUAGUUCUUGGUAAGGUAAAACGAAAGUAAUCCAAUCUCUUACACAUUAGAUUAAUCCUAGAUUAAUUUGACUCGAUUUGUUCAAAUUUAGGUUAAAACCAAUACUUGAACAACCUUAUUAAAGCACUUUUUAAAGGGUAUCUAAAUAUAUUUUUUUUAUCCAAAAUAGUUGGUUUAGUAUUUGCAAAAUUGGUGGAUAUUAGAUUCUUUACUUAGUCACGAGAUCAAACAGUACGAAAUUAGUAUCUUGGCAAGGGCUUUAACAUUAUAGCUUUUUUACACAUUAUAGUUUUCGAGUAUGAAAUCUAAAAUUAAAGUAACAUAUUUUUCUUGUUUUAACUACAACUAUUUUCGGCCUAUCGAAUUAUAACUAGAUUAUGCUCACACUCGAUAGGCUCCGUUAAGGGAUAAAGUAACACGUUUUUGGUAAAUAAUUAGAAUGACAUGUGUAUUACCAAGUCGCAUUAAUUGCUACCACUUGCUUAGUUGCCUUUGGAAAAUGCCCCAAAGAACCAAAAAUUGGCGAUUUGAAGUCCCCACAUUUCAGUUUCAGGCAUAUGUCACUACUGAAUGUGACCUCCAACAAACCUCUCUCUUACAAUAUGUCAAUUAUACCCAUUAUAUGUUUAGUCUGUUAACAGCAAUUGUUUUGCAUCAAAAGUCCCCAUGACCAUUUUGAAUGAUUGCUUUCCAUAAAGAGGAAAAAGGAUAAAAGCAUAACAUAUUUAAGAUAAAUAGAUUUUUUAGAGUUGGACUUUCCUGUACUCAAAUUUAUGACAGUAUAUAAUCAAAUCAACGAAAAUAAAUAUUUUUGAAAAAAUUAUAUAUAUUUUAUAAUAUUUUUUAAGUGAAUAGUUAAAAAUAUCAUAAUUUAACAAAAAAAUUUAUUUUUCAAUAAUUUAGUCUAUACAUUGAAUAUAAAUAAAUCAAUCUCUUUUUAUUGGUACUGUGUUGAUUGAGAUUCAAACUCAAAAUUUUUUGUCCCAAUAUUUUUUUUUAUACAAGAAAGGAAACAGGAUUUUAGAAAACUACAAGCAAAACGUUAGAUACACCCUCUACUAGGGGUGAAGGGAAAGGGAAUUAGAGAGGUGGGCUCUCCCGGCUAGGAUUUAAAUAAAUUGGGUAAAGCAUAAAAUACGACAGUCAAAUGGGACAAAGCGGUGGGAUGGCGUUUAAAAUAGUGGAAAAGAUCAAGUUUUGAACCUCGGAAAUGUAAAGUAAUUUUUUUUUUUUUUUUUUUUUAAGAGGAGGACAAUUGACCCCUCUCCUAAUAUGAAGCAAUCCCUACUAUCGUCAAAUAACAAAAAAAAAUUAGUGCCUAAACAAAAAAUUCGAGAAUUUUAAAGCUACUAGGAUUAAAUUGUCCUUCAUUUAUAUUUUUUCUUUAUAAUUUUUAGUCCAAUCAAUUUAAACGAAGUUGAGUAUGGAUAUUUGAAAAAGAAUUUUAAAAUAUUUGAGAUAGAUGUGGAUAUCAAAAUUUUAUACAGAUUAGAUAUGAUCGGUAUAGAUUUUGCGUGUACCGAACCAUUUUCAUCUCAAAAUAUCAAUCAAUUAUUUAUGUGAUGGUUUAAUUAAUAUGAAUUACAAAUAAAUUAGUUCAAUAAAUUGUAUUUAAUGUUGAAUGUGGUAAUAAAGUAUUUGAUUAAAUAAAUUAGACCAUUAAUUUUUUUAACGUGAGAUAAUUAGAGCAUUAAACAAGUAAAAGAUGUGUGGUCUAAGCAUUACUUGAUUGGCAAUGAGAAAGAAGAGAAAGUGGGAUGAAUAAAAAGAUAUUGGUGUGGUGGUUGGAAAGGUGCUCCCUCCACAAAAGGGAAAUAUAAAAACCUAGCAUUAGCAAGCAAUAUAAUGAGGCCAAUUCUCCUUUUUCUAAACUACUGCUGUAGGCAUCAAUGCAAAGCAAAAGGCUACUCUCUCACUCUUCAACCAAAUUCCCAUAAAUGGCCAAAUAUUUUUUUUUCCUUUUGUUCUUCUUCUCAUCUUUUUUUUCCGCCUCAAAAUAUAUAUAAUUUUUGUUUACUAGUUGCAACUUGCAAGAGAUAAACUAUGUAGUUCGUACAGUUACUUAUAGUAUUUAUUAUAAAAUUCUAUAUCUUGGGUAAAUUUAUUACUAUUAUUAUUUGAAAUUUAUAAUUGAUUAUACAUAUAUAAUCUGUGCACUCGCAAGUAUAAUCGAGUGGUAAAAUACAUAUUUAAUUUGAUAUUUGGUAAAAUUAAAAAAUAAUAUUAAAAAUAUAAAUUUUCCAAGUAAUAACGUUGGACGGGUUGAAUUUUCCUCCUCAUUUCUACAUAUUUUAUGAGCUUUAUCCUUAAUGUGUUUCUUUAUAUAUAUAUAUAUUAUAUAUAUAUAUAUAUAUUCGAUCUGAAUAGAAUAACAUAAUAUGCAUGGGAGACGCAUCUUGUUGUUUGCCAUGGUUAAUUUGAUGCUGACAAUCGAUAAGGCAUUCGAUUCUCUUGUAAGUUUAAAGAAGGACUUUUAUUUUGAUUUGUGCGAGAUUUCAAAAACAGCUUGAUUAACCUAAACUUUUAGUUUUGUUUAACUACUAUUUUUUAAUAUAUAGGUUUAAAAGUUUAAGGGUUCAAAGUCAAUAAAUAAAAUUUUAAGGGUUUAAGUAUUGAACCAAAAUUUUACAACUAAAUUAAUUAAUUUAGAAACAAUAUGAUUUAUCACCAUUGUUGCCACUCCGACGGGUGAGAUGGGAUAACGGAAAUUUCUUCUCUUUUAAAUAAAGGUUUUAAGUUUGAGACUUAGGUAUGGAGUAUUUUUAAAGAUUUGCCCCUCUUCAGGACUUGCUCAGCCUGAAUCCGGAUUAAUCGGACCAAUGAGCUUUGAACACGAAAUUUGGUUAAAACCAAAAAAAAAAAAAAAAUCAUUACUACCCCAUUUAUUUUUUUAAAAAAUUACUGUAGAAUUAAAUGACGUAAUUAACUCACUUUAAAAUCCAAAAAUAUAGGAAUAGGAUCAUGCCUUUGGAAAUUUUGAGAUAUGAGAAUUAUUGGGUUUGGGUUGUAUGUAUCCUAAAUGCAUAUCUUACUCCUACCACGACUAAAGAUUCUCUAUGUAUGGUUUUAUUUGUUUGAUGUUACAAACCGAAUGGAAUAUGUGUAGCUUCAAAUGGUAAGGAAAUAACCAACUACAUUUAUCACAUAAUUCACAAACAAUCACUUUUCUUUUUCUUAACAAAAAAAAAAAAUUAUUUUUUACACAUUAUUAUUUUUGAUCCUAUGGUUUUUGUUAAUCUUAUUCACGAAUGAGAUGGUGGGUUUGGAAAAGCAAGGUGCUUCGGGUGGUAAAUAAAUUGAGGUAAAUUUGUCAUAUCCUUAAUUUUGUCACGCUGUCAGGUUAUGUGAAAUACAUGUCUGUCUAUGUAAGCGGACACAUAUGUAUCUGUUUGUUCCACUUAAUCUCAUUAAAAGUUCCAGUUAUCCAUGUCAUCUAGAGACACCAAAUUAAAGAAAAAAAAAAUACAAGUCUGAACACUCAAUUGUUUCAAUUUUUCGUUCAAAUACCAAAAUAGAAAAAAAAAUGUCAAGUACAGGCACAAAAAAUUAACAUUAACCCUUUUUUCUUGUGUGAUUUUUUUUUUUCCAUUUUCUUUUUAAUAGAAGAAAUUAUUUACAAAUAUUUAAUAUAUAGAUUAGAAUAAUAAAGGAAAAAUAUAUGUUGAAAAUUUUAUCUAAUUAAAUUGAACCAUUUUAUACUUUUAAAAAAAUUCAUAUAAUUUGCUUUCAUACCUUUAUUAUCCUAACAAGCGAUUGUGUUAUAUAUAUAUAUAAAAAGAAAGUUAAAAAUAGGAGAAUGAAAAUUGAUACUACAAAAUAAACAGCGAGAGUGCUUUGAGUUGUCAAUUUUACAGGCACAUUUACCCGCACUACGUUGCGGGCUUCCUACAGUAUUUUUAUUUAUUUAAUAUUUAAUUUUAUUUAUAUUUUUUUUUAAAAAAAUAUUUUAUUCAUAUAAAAUUGCAUGUCUUCAUCUAUUUUACUAAUAGAAAAUUUAUUCCAUUAAUACAUGUAAAAUCGUAUUUUGAAUAAUAUUUAAAAUAAUUUUAUAAUUGUUUUAGGGUAUCAUGCUCUCAUAUUUAUUUAUAUUUUAAUAUUAACUAAUUUUUUAAGAAAAAUGUAAAAUUCACACUAAAUUUUUUAUCAUUUUUUGCUAUGAAAAAAAUAUCGAAUCCACAAAAAAAAAAAAAAAAAAAAAAACUAAUUUUGUGUUCCUCAAUUUCUCAAAUUUUAUCUAUCAAGUGAUAUGAAUUUUUAAUGCUUUAUCGAUUAUCUUCAUAAAUUGCUCACGAAUCUUUUAGUUCUAGUAAAAAUAAUCACUUAAAAUGAAAAAAAAAGUCAAUAGAACAAUAAUAAAUUAAAAAGUUUAAAAUUUCAAAAGUUUAAUAGUUUUAUAUUUAUUAAUACAUGAUAAUAUAAUAAAUAAUAAAUCAGUUGAAUGCAUUGUCAUUUAAAAAAAAAAUCGAUUAAGUUAAUUAUAAAUUAAAUAUAUCAUAAGUUCUAAAAUGAAUUAUUCAAAAAAUUUAUACUUAUUCAUCCAUUUAAUUCAAUUUUAUAAACUCGUGCUAAGCUUUAUUUAUAUAAAUCAAAAAGAAAAAUCAAUUCCAUAAUUCAAAUAGUUAAAUUUUAAGAACUGAGAUACAUAAUUUAUUUAAAAAGUACUAAAAGAUGACUUAUGAAAAAAAUUUUGAUGGUAAUUAAUUGGACCAAUGAAAUUAAAAUAAAAUAAAUAUUAAUGUGGAAAAGAGACAAACACCAAAUAUGUCAUCUUUAAUCUAAGAGAAUGAUAUAUAUAUAUAUCCAAAAUUCAUUUGUAGAGUCAGAAUAGUCACAAAGCCUCUAGGAACAAUUAAAAUAGAAUAGGAUAAAAAAGUGAUGGUUUAAAUGGCAAUUCACCGUAAAAAAUGCUAAAGUAAUUAUUUAGUGAAUUUAAUCAAUUGAGACUGAAACUUAUAUUGAGUCAGUUCUAUAAUAAAAAGAAAAACUAAUUAUCAUAAAUUUUAAACUAAUAAUACUAAAUGUUAAGGUAACUUAUUUAUUAAAAGUAUUAGACUAAUUUAAUUUACAUUGUGAAAAUGGUGAAGAAUUAAGUACGUGGCUAUACCAGUGUUAAAAAGACGUUAAAUUGAUGAAAUUUAUAAAAAUACAAUCAGAAUUGUAAGGAUAAAUGAUUAGAAAUGAAUAGGGGCAAAACAGUAAAGAAUAAAAGCUAAAACACUAUUCAAAUGAAGAGUAACUUCUAAUAUAUGACAAAGGGCAAAAUGGAGAAAAUAUGGAAAAGACGUGGUUUAAUUGGAAAAAUACUAUUUAGUUCGUAAAUAUGAUAAAGGGCAAAAAUGGGAAUAGGAUGAAAAUGAUAUGGUUUGUGGAAAAACAGUAUUCUAUGAAUAGUGUUUUUGGGUUUUGUUUUAGUAUAUAUAUAUAAUGGUACAUGGAGAAUUUAACCAGACAAUUAGGAGUCCCCUUUUUAGUUAAGAAUCAACCUAAUCUUUAAAGGUUUGACUUUCUUAAUUGGAAAUAUAAGAUUAUAUAAAGACAGGCCUCACAUCAACUUUGCAUUGGCCCCAUUUCUUUUUUCCUUUUUUUUUUUUUUUAAAUUUCGUAUAAUACAUAAUCUACAAUUAUAUUUUAAGCCUAAUUAGCAUGAUUUUUUUUUUUAUAAUUGAAUUAAGUGAUUAAAUUCGAAAACAAGUUGAAAUGUAAGCACUGUAUAAUAAUAAUGUAAAACCGAGGAAUCUAAGCACGCUAAAAUAUAGUAUAAUUGUAAGUGCAUAUAUGACCAAAUUAGUUAAAACCAGCAUUAAACCAUGGUCAACGGUUCUGGUUCUAAAACUAUAACCGAAACUAUAAAUUUAAGGUUCAGUUCCAUUCCUUUAUUUUGUGGAAUCAAAACCGACAGUUCUGGUUUGAAAUCGUGAAAAAUAUGUUCUUAAAUAAAUUUUCAACUUAUUUUUUUAUUUUAUUAUAGUUUUUUAAAGUAAUUUUAAAGAAUUUUUAUUAAAUUGAUUUAUUUUUUUUCAACAGUAACAUUUAUUAUUAUUCUUAUUAUUUAUUCAAAAUUUAAAUCUUUUAAAAAAUAUUUUAAAAAGUUUAAAAUAUAUUAUUUAAUUUCAGUUCAAAAUUGAAAAAAAUCAAAAUCGACAGUUUCAAAAUUAUUUUUGAAAUCGUAUAAAAACGGUUCGGUUCUAAUUUCAUCUUUUUUAUAUCCAAAACCAUAAUUUCGAAAUUAAAACCGAUAAUUCUUAAACAUGCCUAUUUUCCGAUUAUUUAUAUUGGAAGAGAAGAGGUUGCGUUGUGUCUCAGGAUUAGGAAUACGAAUAGCAUAAAGUAAUGGGGUAGUUCACGUGAGAGCUAUUCCAAUCCACAGCCUUUUCUUAAUUUGUCAGGCUCAUUGCUAUUACGAACGCGUAAUCCUAUUUUAACUGGAAAAGAGACAGAUGCAUCGAACCAGAAUAUGUUAUAUUGUGAUUUUAACAACAAAAGGUAUGAGAAAAGGACGUUUUUAUUUUCUUUACAAAUAUUUUUCUAAUCUUUUUUUUUUUUUCGUGAGGAUACCUUCUCUGUUGAUUUUUUAAUCUUUCUAUUUCCAUUGUCUUUACCAAUCAUGGGUUAGAUCAUACUACUGAUAUUUUUUUUAUUGAUUAUUGGUUAGAGUUCAUGUUGGAGUGUCUUGACACAAUGAGAUGUGGUGUGAUCCUGUGCGGACAAUAGAGCGAAAAUAUUUUUAGUCGUGCGUUUUUCAAUCUUACAAAGAUUGAAAUCGCUUAUUAUUUUAACCAACACCUUAAUUAUUAGUAAUAAUGAUUAUUUAUUAAUAGCAUAGAAAUAAUAACAUGCCGGAAAAUUUAAACGAUUAUAAGAGCACCACAACAAAAGAGUGGAGUGAAAAUAAAGUCGUUAAUCUUUAUUUUAUUGAUCAAUAUAGAAAUUUCUAAGAGUAGUUAAAUGAUAAAGCAUGUUUGAGUUUAAUCAACGCUAGUUGAAGUCAUACAUAUAGGAAAUAAUAAUAAAAAAAAUCAUACAAAAUGUCUUUAAAAAUCCUAUAUUAUUAUUGACCAAAGUCAAAGUGUCAGCAUCAUUGUUGUCUUGGCAAAUUGAAGUGGGUUGUCCUAAAUUUGAUAAAUGUCACAGUUUGAAUAAAUUUGAUGACCCAAACCGCAAUUCUUUUCUUGUUUAUGAAUGUGAUAAAUGGAACCCACAAAAUUCAGAAAUGUCAAAAUGCUGUUAAUUUAACACUUGACAAGAGACCAACGCUUUCUACUUUCAGUUGCUCUCCUAAGUGCAGCAGCCUACAGCUGUUACAUAUUACUAUUACGUUUUCCAUAAUCUGCAAGUUCUAUCAACAACAAAACACAAAAAUAACUAAAUAUAUUAAAUAUCGAAAGGCAUAGUUUUUAUGGGUUUGCCUUUUCUUUUAAUUUGAUAUGUACAAAUUCAACUUUUUUUUGAAAAAAAAAAAGAAGUACAAAUUCACCUAUGAGGAACCGAUUGUAUAAUAUGGACAGUAGAUGGCCUUUUUUUAAUGUUGUUUUUAUACUACGACCAACGUAGUAUUCCGUAAAACCUUUCCAAUAGUUACAAUUUCAGAUUUUGAAUCUUUUAACCUUUUUAGUAGUAUUCAGUUUUUACACCAGCUUAAUCAUGAUUUAUCUUGAAUUGUUUAUAUCCAUUUUUGCUUUAGAGCAAUUCUAAUGUGACCGUAGGUUGUGGCUUAUAUAGCAUAUUAAAUAGAAGAUAUUAAUAAUGAUGUGACUAUAAGUCUAUUUGUAAAUAUUAAAUUUGAAAACGGGCUCUCCAAUGUAUCAUAAUAGGAUUUUUACGAUGACGUGUAUUGUUUUUUUAAAAUUAUAUCUAAUUAUAAUAAAAGAAAAUAAGUUGAAAUUUGAAAAAUAUUCUGUUGAAAUUUGAGACCUCUAAUUUCUCGUAUAAGUGAAAAGACUAAUCAAACCACGGUUGAUAUAUAUUACAUUAAAUUUUUUUUAUUUAUGCAUUAUAAAUCAUUAUAGAAGUGAAAAGAAUAACCAGAUUAGACACUUGAUUUAAGAUUAUUUUAAAAUUUUUUACUUGUGGAUGGUAAGUCAUUAUAAGUCAUUGUAUUUGGCACUAAACAGUUGCAUAAUAAUACCAAUUCAGAAUUAAGAGUUAAUUACUAAGAAAAAAAAAAUCAUAGUUUGGUUAAAGAAACAAAAACUCCGCCGUCAAUACUAAUAAUGAAGGUAUGUGUUGUUGGGUGACGACAGGUUCGACCAUACAAGGAGUUUCCAUAGUCCGUAGAGGAUCUGACACUGCCAUGCCACCAUUAGUCUCUGUGGCCUCGAAUAUUACAUUCCUAAAUAAAAAUUAGUAGUAUAAAAGAAAGUAAAUGCUAAACGAACAUUAAAUAAGAGUUCUUUAUACAAGAAAAUGAGGUUUUUUGCACAUCAGGUAAUACGGACUCUGUAGUACAAGCAAUAGCCAAUGAGAAAUCGACAGCAAAUUCAAAAAAAAAAAACCACUCUGGUAUGUGAAAACCUGCCCUUUUCCAUAAAAACCACUAUCCCCCUCUCUACCUCUCCAUUUUCCCAUUCUAUAUAUGUGCAUGCUUUCUUGGGAAAGCUUCAUAUGUAGCAAGAAGAAAAAUCCUAUUUAUAACCCUUUCUCUAUUUAUACAGCCUCUCUUUUGGUUUUUCUUUUUCGGUAUUUUCUUGGGUUUUGGCUGUUUGGGUUAUUUUGAGGAAAGAAGAGGAAAAAUUUAUACAUAUUUGUUGAAAUGGGUAGAGGUAGGGUUCAGUUGAAGAGAAUAGAGAACAAGAUCAAUAGGCAAGUAACAUUUUCCAAAAGAAGGGCUGGUCUGUUGAAGAAAGCUCAUGAGAUCUCUGUUUUGUGUGAUGCUGAGGUUGCUUUGAUUGUUUUCUCCCACAAAGGAAAGCUCUUUGAGUACUCUACUGAUUCGUGGUAAAUUUUUCUUUCUUUAUUCUUUCUUCAUUGAUAUUUUUUUUAUAUGUAUAUAUGCAUAUGGUUUUUGUUUAGGUUUUCUUUCUUUCUUUUGUUUAGGUUUUAUCAAUUAUUACAAGAUCUGGGUUUAGGGAUUUUGUUUAUCCAUUUUCCUCAGUCCACAUUAAUUUUGGGACUUUUUUUAUUAUUUUUUCAAAUUUAAUUUUCUUGGUUUCGUGGCUGUUUCUUCACAGAAAACCUUAUCCAUUUUUCUUCGUACAGAACACAUUAUUGUCUACAUAUAUGCAUGAAAGAUAGAUAUCUUGCAUACAGAAAAAAAAAUAUAUUUAUGUAUUUAUAUUAUCCUUUUUUUCCAUAAAAAAUUUUUAUUUUCUCUUGUGAAAAUCAGUGACUGAUACUCUAGGUAUCAGAGUUUCUGCUUUUGGACUUAAUAUAUGUUGCAUUUGAAGUUAAACCACUAUUUAGCAUCUUGAAUAAUUUAAUGCAGAGAGUUUAGAGGCUAAUAACAUACUUCAUAAAUUUUUUUUUUGAAAGGGACUUUAUAUGUAUUAUCAUGUUCUAAAUAUGUUGUUAUUAUUAUUAUUAUUAAAGUAUUUCACCCUCAAAACCUAGUCUUUUACUAAAUUCAGAAAUGUAAUUUCAGCUUUAUAUUGAUUUUCUUUUCUUUUCUUUUUUAAUUUUUUAUAGCACUAUAUUAAUCUUUGACAUAAUCAAAGGUGCAACACUUAUACUUGAUUUUGUGAAAAUUUAUAAAUUAUAAUAAACAUAUAUUGAAAAAGAUUUAAUUGAAUUUACUCUCUUUUUGCCCCAUUUCUUUUUCUCGCAAAAGCUGUGGAUUUCUACAUGAAAACAGAUAUUAUAAAAAUUAGUACAUAAUAUUGUAUGGACAGAUUUAUGCAACCCAUCUUGACAUCUGUCUCAGAUCCACUGCCAAUUUAACUGUACUUUUGACUUCAGUUGUUUUAUUGUCUGCACGUUAUGAUGUUAUAAUAAUAAUAAUUGCAUCGGGAGAUUGAUUUGAACUCUGGAAGAAUAUAAAUCUACGAUCCCUCAAAAGGAGGUCCAAAUUUAAAUGCAAAACCUAUUAAUUUGAUUAGUCUUUUAUUUGGUUUUUAGGAUUAUACCGUAACUACUGGUUUCUCUUUCAGUUGUACGGAUUUUUAUUAAAAAAUGUUUUAUUUUAUAUAAUUAUAUUGAGUUUUCAUGUGUGAAAUUAAUAUAAUUUUAUGAUAAAACACAAAAAUCAUUUCAUGGUUUUUUCUGUUUACUUUAAAAUAAGGGUUAUUACAUAAUGGAUAAAAUGUGCAUCUUAGUACUCACAAUUACUUUCUUUCUAGGAAUGUGUUCUAGUGCUUUUACUUAGUGAAGUCUUUAUGUAAUGAUAACUUGUGCUAAUUAUUAUUAUCAUGUUUUUCUUUUUCCAUAUAAUUAAUUGAUGCUUAACAUUUUUUGUUUUCCGUAAAUCAAAAAAUAUUUAAAUUUAAUAUAAAGUUUGAAUCUUUAAUCUCAUGCACCGCGAGACAGACACUUGACUUAAUUUCUUUGAAUCUCGACAGAUGAUAUUCAAUUUGCUUUUUAUUACAUGUUUGUCUUUUUGGAUAAGCUGGUUUGAUGUUAUUACUGAUUAAAUUUCUUGGUAACUUAAUUUUAAUAUAUGCUGCUAUAUACUUCCAUACAGUCAAAAUGCUUGUAUGGAUUUUUAUUAUUAACAAUUGGCUUAUGUUAUUGUUUUAAUACUUAGUCAUGCAUACUUGCUGCAUUUUGCUCACUUUUGUAUCUACACGACAGGGUAGCUUUCUCCUUAGUUCGUCAAAUUAGUAAAAAUUUUUAUAAUCGAGAAAACUCGAGUUUAAAACCUCUCACUACUGUUUAUAUAAGUGAGAAGAUCAACUAAAUCACGUAUAAUUGACUUGAAUUUUUAUUCAUAUUAAUUAAUGUUAAUCAUGUUAUUAGCUUUGCUUCUAUUGAUUGUUUUCUUUUUUUUUCUUUUUUUGAUACUGUAGAUUAUGAGGUAUUCUUCGGAUAGUUUAUGCACACCGAGUGCUAGUGUCAUUAGUACUAUUAUUCCUGGAGUGCGCACUUCCUAUAGUGGCACUGAACCCUAAUUAAUAAGGAAGGGGAAUUCUCAUCUCUUUCAUAUCAACUGAAUUGACUCCACUGGAUUGGUUCUUGGUUGUGACUUCUGGAGAAUGUGCAAUUUUGAGUAUAUUGCUUAUUCUGUUUUUUAUUUUGUAUAUAUAAUUAACGGAAAAUUUUGUGCUUAUUUUUUCAAUAUUUCAUAUCAAUGCCUCUUUUGAUAUCUAAACUGCAGUAUGAAUCAUGAACAAAACAAAGAAAUUCCAGUGACUUGUAGCUGUAAAAUUUAUGUUUCUCAAUUGCCAAUUUGUGAUUCCCUAUUUGCUCUUAUUGCAUUAUCCAGUGAUGUUUAAUAUUCUUUAGUCCAUCAAACCUGUUAACCAACGUUGUUGAUUACUUUCUUGUACAGCAUGGAAAAGAUUCUUGAACGCUAUGAGAGGUAUUCUUAUGCAGAAAGGCAGCUCAUAGCAAACGAUCUUAAUUCACAAGUAAGUUCUCUAGUACAAGGACGAGUUUGGAUUCCUUGUCCCAUCAUAAAAAAUUCAGAGUUUAUAUAUAUAUAUAUAUAUGAAUCAAAACUCAGUAUUAAUGGAACCAUAAUAUAUAAAAUUAGUGAUUGACAAAUGACAACCAUGAGGUUAAUUAAUUAUAUAUGCAGGAGAAUUGGACCCUGGAAUAUAACAGACUCAAGGCGAAGGUUGAGCUUUUAGAGAGAAACCAUAGGUACUAAUUAUUAGUGAAUUUAAUUAUUUUCUUAAUUAUCUAUUUUCCUUUGCUGUUAUUCAAUUUAAUGAUAAUAUUCAAACCUCAACAGGCACUAUUUAGGAGAAGAUUUAGACUCAUUGAGCUUGAAAGAGCUCCAAAACUUGGAGCAACAGCUUGAUACUGCUCUUAAGCACAUCCGAGCAAGAAACGUGCGUAUAUUUUAUUUAUGUAUUUAUAUAAAUGCUUAAAUUUCCUUUUAUUUGAUUUAUAUUAACGGAUAGUAGUAACAUGUUUGCUUUUCUUGCAGAACCAACUGAUGCAUGAAUCCAUCUCUGAGUAUCAGAAAAAGGUAAUCGUUAAUCAAAAUUAACAAAAAAUUGCUUUCAAGCAAUUGAGUGAUAUUGCAGGAGGAACUAGGGUUUCUGCUGCAGUUUUUAAUUAUUACACUGACUAUAUACAUUAGCAUUGUUUUCAUAGAAUGAAGAAGAUAUAAUUUGCUUAGAUUCGGUAAAAUUUAAUUACUUGAUUUAGAACAUGUCUAAAUAAGGGUAUUAGUAGCUCAGUUACAGAAAAUCCAAUGGCUUAAUUAGAGCCAGAUACAUACAGCAAUCAUGUUAGCCUGCAACAUAAUGCACUUGGGCUUGUUUAGGGUUUUAUGUGCUAAAUCUUUUGGGUUCUAAAAUUUGCCUAAAGAAAUUCCAUAGAUUAUAAGCAUUUAAAGAAUGCCUUUAGAGCUGAAUUACUAAUAGCUAGUUAAACUUCAUCCUUCUCAAAGUAUUGUUAUGGACAGAAAAACCCUAAAGUGCAGGUUCUCUUUUGUUUUCUGCUUGUUAUAAAGUUUGUCCCAGAUGAAGCUAAUCUUGCGUCAUGAUAUUCUUUUCUUUUUCUUCUUUUUUCAUCUGUGACAGGAGAAGGCAAUAGAAGCGCAAAAUAGUAUGCUAGCAAAGCAGGUAACUUAUCUUUAUUAUUCAAAAGCAUACAAAUCACUCUUUCCAGUACUACAUAGAGAAAGGUUCAUAUAAGUACAUAGAUUGUGAAAAUUGCCAAUUGCCAAGUUCGAUUACUUUUUUGACAAUGCCAAAUCAAAAGGCAUUCUGCUUGAAGAUAACAGGAAAUUACGAUUUUCAAACUGGUACGGCGCAAUUCUUGCAGUUUUAUGAACUUUGUUUCUUAGAACAGUAGAAUUACUGAGUAGGAUUCAAUAUCUAGAUUACAUAGAAGAAUAGGUUUUGAUAGUACAGGUACUAAAUGGGUAUCCCACUGUUUCACAUUCCUAAUUAUAGAUUAUCUGAUAAUUUUUAUUAAGAACCAUUCUCUCUCUAUACAUAUAUAUUAAAUAAAUUAAUGAUAACUACAAGCUUUUUUAUUUUUUUCUUUUUUGUCAAUUGGGUAUCUAUUGAGUUCGAACUCCCAAUCUUAUAAUCUUGAGAACGACUUCUAUGCGAAAACUCAUAGGAAGAGUUGAAUUUUUAGGCCAAGUGGUUGAAUUACAACAAAUUUCUCAGUGUUAUAAGAGACUGCAAUGAGUCUUCAUACAAAGGCUAUUAGCAUACAUGAUAGUAAUAUGUGUAUGUGUGUAUAUAGGAUAAUUAUUGAUGACUAGAAACUCAAGAUUAAUUAGUUUUGUAAUUUUGUAAUAGAUUAAGGAGAAGGAGAAGGCAGUGGCACAGCAGGCACUUUGGGAGCAGCAAAACCGUAACACCCAUAUGUCACCCUUCCUUGUGCCACAGCAACCACUUCCUUGUCUAAAUAUUGGGUAAUCCAUUUUUAAUUUGCUUGCUUUUAUAUUAAUGACUUCUUAGAAUAUACACAUAUUUCCACUGUCUAAUUAUUUGACAUGUGAUAUUACUUAUGUGCAGUGGCACUUACCAGGAAGAAGCAGUACCAGAAGUGAGGAGAAAUCAGCUGGACCUAACAUUGGAACCAAUAUAUUCAUGUCAUCUUGGAUGCUUCACCACAUAAUUAUCAAUUUGGUCGAAGAAAUUAAUUAAAAUGGAAAACAGGAGAGAGAUUACUACAUGCUACCUCUCUGCUGCCUAUUUCUGAAGCUUUUGGUUUGUUAAUAUAUAAUUUAUAAUAUAUAUAUAAAUGGACAUGAAAAUUGUUCAAUGUAACAAAUGUCGCUAAGACUCUUUCAUGCUUUGCACGAUGAUAUAACAACUUUAAUCUCUACGAUCUUGAUGCAUCAUAAAAAUUUUUUGUAUAUAAUGAUAUGUCGGUCUGAUAUAUAUAUAUAUAUAUAUAUAAUACCUUUUUGUUAACAAAUUCUAAUUAUUUGAGCUUUUUUAUUGUUUAAAGAAAUUUUGUGUUAAUAAUAUUUUCUAAAUAUAUCUAAUAAAUAUAAUUAUAAUUGUAGGGACACGUGUCAAGUUUGCUAACAAAAGAAAAAAAAAAAAAAAAAAAAACAAAAGGAAAAAGGAAAAUCAAUAACUGAUUGCAGCAUGGUUGCUAGGGUUUCAUAUGCAUGGGUAGCGUUUUUGGGGUGGAGUGAGCAGAAGGGAAAGGAAUACAAUAUUUGGGUAUCUGGUUAGCCAUAUAGUUGGAUUAUUUGUUAUGUAGGCUUUAGAGGUUUUGAUUUGUGGCAAGAAAGUAAAAUCUACAUGCCUGUGCCUAGUUUGGCACUGGGUGUAUAUAUAAAUUUCAAAGAAGUCAGGAUAGCCUUUUCUUUUGUAUAAUAAUUUCAAAAGGGGGUGAAAAAUAUUGUUUACCAAAAAUUCAAAUAUGAAAUUAUACUUUCCAGUGAUUUCAUCAAAUAGAUUUAUAAUAGUUUUCAAAAGGCAUUUCUUUUCUCUCUUUCCUUUUCUCUCAAUCCUAACAACAGCCUAAAGUGACUUUGUGUAGUAUCACCGGCAGUAGCUAUCUUCUUGCUUUUAUUUCCUUUUUCUUUCCCUCUGUUCUUCUUUUUCCUUGUUCUUGUAGUUUUCUGCACCCUUCAGGGCUUUAUCCAGGGUCUCAUCCCUUAUUUUAUCAGGGUAGAUCAUGGAUCUACUCUUGUUUUGUGCAGAUAUGUGCAUGGUUUAUCUGCUUAAGAAAUUCUAUUUUUAUAUAGAGUUCCGGUAUUUCAUUCUAAGAGGCCAUAAGGGUGUUACAACACCGUUAAAAACUGGUGAUUUGGAGAAGUUUCUUCUCCCUCUCUCUAUUAGUAGAUUGUUUUCCCUUAUUGUUCUUGUUUGGGUUUGGCGGAUUUUAUGGUUUCACAUCUUUUCCCAGAUCUUGUAAUUUAUAUAUAUAUAUAUACAUAUACACAUACCAGUCAUAAUGUUCCUAGCUAAUGGUAAAGAUAAUAAAUAAUUAAUUAAGCACAGUACAGAGAUAUGAAAGAAAGGUAGAAAGAAUGUUGCCAGGAAUAAUUACUAGCUUGAACUCAACUGUGCAAAAGUAUCAAAACUGAAAAUAAUACUCAGCAAGGACGGUGGAGGAGUCUCGUCUACAUUGGAUGCAGCGAAAGCUGCUCAACUUAUGUUUUCUCCUUUCGAAAUCAAUUAGCAAAAUUUUAACAAAGAAAAUUAUGAGGAUAAUUAAGUAUGGUUUCAGUCAAAACUAGUUUUUACAAGUUAAUAGAGGUUCAUCUUACUAUAUCUAAUCAUUACUAUCUACGUAUUUUGCAUGCAAUACUUAAUGAUGUUUUACAAUAUUAAAUUAUUAAUUACCUUAUUUCAAAAAAAAAAAAAAUAUCAAUUACCUUUGCUGACGUCAGACAAACAAAAUAAAAUUAAUAUUACAUCCAAAAAUUGUCUAAUUGGCAAUUACACUUCUAAAAUUGAAAUUUAUGAAGAGGAAAUCAUUUAACAAAAAAAAAAAAAAAAAAAAGAUAAUGGCAUUUGAAAGGAAUUUACUUCUUAUAGUUAUGGGUCUGAACGUAUAAAAAUAUGAAAAAAUUGUGAAACGGGAUAUAAGUAAUAUUUCUCAUGUAUUUAAUAUUUGAUUUGGGAUUUUGAUAUUAGAGAAUAGACUUUCAAUCUAAAUCUCUAAUCAAAUUGUAUAUACACACAUCAUCAAGCUUGUAUCGAUACUUCACGUAGCUUCAUCAAAUACCAUCUCCUGCAACAUUAUCCAGAAGAGACUCAAAUUCAUUAGCAAUUACAAACUGCAGUAUAUAUCACAAAAUUACUUAAAAAGAAAUUAGUGUAAUACAAUUCCAGCUAGCAUAAAAAGAACAGGAAGAUAUUUUGAAAUGCCAAAUGAGUGUUUUGAUCAGCAUUUAUAUUUCUUAUUUGCAAUUAAUGCACAUAUAAAUAUAUAAUUACUUAAAAAGAAUAAUAAUUAUUUUUCUCUUCCUCAAAAGAAAAGGCAAAUAUAGAUUGAAGAAAUUAAUUACCUUAAAACAAAGGGGGCAGGAUUGGCUUCUUUCCAUCCACUCAUAUAUACAUCCAAGAUGGAAAUGGUGCUGGCAAUGUGUCACUAUCCUUGGAUUAUCAAAGCUAUAAUCUAUCAUCAACAACAAAUGUUGAGAAUUCAAAAAAAAGAUUAACAUUAAUCAUGACAUAAUGAGUAGACAAAUUGUGUUUAAUUUACCUUCAAGACAUGUGGGGCAAACAUCUUCAUCAUCCUGGGAAGCAUAUAAAUAAGUAAUUUCAGCUUCUAGUUUUGAUUCUCUAAUGGGAUGAGGAGACUUUGAUGAAUUGUUAUAAUCACUUGAUCUAACAAUAUCAAAUCCAUUUGUUAUUUGCUGUAUGUUAUUUUGUAAUUGACUUUCACUAUUUGCACGUGGGAGCUGCACCUGCAGCCGCGGCGGUGAUGGCAGCAGUGGCAGUGACGAAAGCCGUGGCAGCGGAGACUGUCCGUUGGAAUUCAUGGCGUGCAGUCCAGUAUUUGCUUCUGGCAGGACACUGGUAUCGCCUGUGUUGAACACUGUCGCAUACUGAAGGCAGAUGUGUAUUAACGCAACUUUAAGGCAAUUAUGAUGCUUAAUUAGGGUAAUUACCCUAGAAUUGUAUAAGGUCAUCAUCAUGAAUCAUGAUAGUAUAAUUACAGAAAAUAAUAUAUAUAACACUAAAAAGACGAAAACAUAAUAUUUGUGCUAAGACUCGUUCUAACAUUACCAUCAGAGUAGCUAUUCAGUAUUGCAAUUAAAUUGGUUAAUUUGAAUUUUAAGCUUAACUAACAAAUAAAAAUCAAUUGAUUAAACUAAUUAAACUUAAAUUUACCUUGAUGAAUAUGGUAUGAAUGAAUCCUUUGACAUUGGAGUUUCUGCUACUAUUUUCUGCAGGAUCCUCAGCAAGAAAGCAACUACAAAUAGAGCCCAUUAUCUAGCUUCUGCAAAAGAACGAACACCAUAUAAGCAAAUUAAGGUUGCCUGAAAUUAAGAAAUUAGUUAUCUUUUUUUUUUUUUUUUUUUUUAAAAUAUUGAUGAUGAAUAUAUUCAUCUUCACCUUAAUGAAGAAAAGAAUUGUUACUUUGCUAAUCCAAUAAUCAAAAGAGAAGACCCACAAGAAUAUUUACUUCAAAAGUUCGUUGCAGAUAUAUAAAUAAUAAUCUGCUAAUACUAUAUAUAUAAUGCAUAAAAGGGUAAACAGCUACUGACAUAAAAAAGAAAAGAAAAUUAAGGAAAAAGAAUUAGAUUGAUACUAAAAAUUACAACAGAUGAUCCUUCAUGCAUACCUCAGAAUUGAAAACGCAGCAUUCAACUUCGGAAUAAUAUGUCAAUGGUAAAUCCCCUCACUGAACUUAAAACUAAAACCCAAUAUCUUUGGAUGAGAAAGAAAAUUUCACAUAAAGAAAAAGGAAAGUAAGACCCAGAAAGAAUAGGAAUUCAUAACCAAACAAGGUUUUUUUUUUAAAAAAAAAAAAAAGAACGUAUUUACAUAGGAAUUUGGAAAAGAAGAUUCUGAAGUUGAGAAGUUUGUGUGUGAGCGAAUCCUAAUUUUGUAGGAUUCUUAGCCGAUAAGCGGAUUUUUUGGGUUUAAAAUAUGAAGAUCUGAAUUUGAAGCCCAUGCCCAAACAAUUGUUUUGUGGGUUUGUGAAUGGUAUGUAUUAUUAGGCCCAACGACAACGCGUGUUUAUAGCAAAUACAUCGCACGACGUCGUCUACUGAAUAAUUCAAGUAAAACUAAAAUUUUAAAAUUAUAUAUAUAUAAAAAUUGUUUUCUCACUAUUAUCUCAUGCUCUUUGAGAGACAAAUUUUAUUUUGUCUACUCGAGAUGAAAAUUAAAAAACAAUGCUAUUAGUUCACCUGUAAUUCAGAGUUGGUAAAUGAUAAACUUUUGAAAAGUAUGGUCCACUCAAUUUGCAUUUUUCUCCACAAAUGAAAACUUGCGGUCCAAUUCAUCAAAAAUAUAAAAAUAAUAGAUCUAAGGUUAGGAAUUUAAUCUCAAAAUGAUACAUAUUAGGAAAAGUAAACCCACUGAUUAGUUUUACUUACCUAGUUAAAUUAGCUAUCUAAUUCUGUCGCCAAACUAACUAACAAUGAUUCCUAUUAAGUUGACAAUUUUCCCUUAAUUAAUAAAAAAUUUCCCUCUUCAAGUUCAUGGCAAUCAUAACCCUUUUCUUGAAGACUGCUAUAGAUAUGAAGAACUGCAAAUUCUUACUUACAAAAGCCUAGUAUUUGGAAUCCAAAGCUUCCAGCUAGUAAUUAAGGCAGAAAGCACACGCAGGGUAAGAAGCCAGACAAGGUCAACAAAAAUUCCUUUUCUAUUUUGUUCAUAAUUAGAAUGCAAAUGUAUAUUAUUAAAAAAAAAAAAAAAAAAAAAAAAAAAAAAAAAAAGAAGAAGAAGAUAUUGUAUCUGUGGAUGCAACUUGUUCAAUUAAUUUAAAGAUUGAAAAGACCUCUUAACCAUCUAAUAUUUUUGGGAAGUCAGUGAAGGUUGUUGAAUCUUUACUUUGAAAAAAUAAUGCAUAGCCUUUCUCGAUUUUGCAAAAAGUCUAGUCCCGGUCCCUCAUUUCAUCUUUGCUUUUUUCUCAUUUAUAAACAGACUUAACAAAUCAGAAAUAUAUUACUUAUAAUUAUUAUUAUAAAUAUUAAUCAUAAUUUUAAUAAUUUAAGAAUAAAAAAUAAUUACAAUUGUUUAUAUUAAUAAUAGUAAUUAACUCUUACCAACAAUAUAAGUAAAUAUUUUAAUAAUUGAUUUUAUAUAUAACAUGCAAUUCUUCUUAUCUUUUUUGGUAUACAGAUUGACUCAUAUACCGAGUAAUUUUUUUCUGUAGAUUAUAACCAUAAAUUUUGAAAAUAAAAUUAAUUUUAUAAAAGGGGAAAUAAUACUUUGUUAAAAAUUAAAAAAAAAAUUAAAAUUUUAGAAAAAUUAAUUUCUAUCAGUGCUCCUGCGUCUCUCGGUAUGUCUAUCCCAAAUCAAUAUUUGCUUUGGCAAAUAUUUAAAUCAUGAGGUUGACUCUUUCGAAAAGAAACAUAAAAAAGAUUUAUAGGUUGAAUAUUUUCUUUUCUUUCUUUUAAUUGUAAUCAUGAAAUCAUAUAGCGUGUGAACCACGUUUAGUAUACCAAUAUAUAUAAAUAUGCAAUAAAAUUAAAAUCAAACUUAUACCUAAUAAUUAAAUUGCAAUCUUAUUUUGAUCAAUGCCCAAGAUGUUGCAAAUGGUAAAGUAAGAGAGUAAUAUCCAUAUGCAAAGAAUAAUUACCAUCAUCUUAUCUAAAAGAUUAUAGCCUUUUACCUAAUGGAGGAUAAUACUACUCAUGAGUCUCUCCUUUCUUUCUUUUUCUUUUUUUUCAAUUAUUUUUUGUUUUUCUUAAUUAAUUUUUAUGAUGAGGGUAUAAUGAGUUCUAGGAUUACAUAAUCAAAGAGCCAAAUUGCAAGUUAGCAACUAUACCUUUAAUAAAUCAAUACUUUGAGCUAUAUAAAUUUAUAUUUUAUUACAUUUUGUAAUCCAAAAGGUGAAUAAAUUAUAUAGCAAACUAACUCUAAUAGCUGAACUAAUUUAUUCGUUUCUCAUAGACAAUUUUAAAUGGAGGCUAUCAUUUUUAAAACUUAGGGAGUAGCCACACUUGAAUGCCUAAAAUUCAUUCUAUAUCAAACAUCAAUAAUGCUCUUGCAUUGCCCUUUUUUCUUUUAUUUCUUACUGUCUGUAGAAGUGAGUAUAUAUGUUUUUAUUUUUUAUUUUUAAAAAGUUAUAUAUAUUAUGAUUAUGUUUAUGUUUUAGAAGUUAAAAGUAUCGUUUUAUAGAAGGUUAAUUAUAAAAAUUAAAUGUUUAGUUUUUGAUAUUUUAUAAAAAACUACUCAAACAGUUGCUAACUACUUAAACAACUAAAACACUUUUAAAAUAAUUAAUAACUAUUAAAAAACUAAUUUUGUUGAAUAGACACUAUCUAUUAAUUUUAAAAAAAUUAAAGCUAUAAGCUAAACCAAAUAUUUUGGCUUAUUCCUCUAGUUGAGCAUAUCAAAUUUUAUCCGGUCCAUGUUCUAUUCAUUAUCAUUAAUUAUCAAUGUGGAGGUCUAUAUAGAAGAGCAUCUCCAACGCAACCGUUGAUUGUAUUAAUUUAUUUGUUACGUUUAAAAAAUUGAAAGUUAAAAAUAAAAAUUUUCUUUAAUGCUAUUGUCUGUUCAAUCUGUGAGUCUGAUGUGUCAAAAAAAAAAAGAGACAUUGUCUAUCACGCUCUCUAUUUUCAGAGGGUCUGUUAGACAGCGCGACUCAAUUUUUUGUUCUUUUUUUCCUAUUUAUUUAUUUAUUUUUUAUUAUUUUCCUCCUUUAUUUGUGCUUAAACUUUUUCUUGCGCUAAAACUGAUUUCUUCUUUGUGCAUUGGAGAACCAUUUUUUAAACUCUAACAUCUAUAAAUACACAUUCAGUCACGUCACAAUCCAUAACUUCUAUUUAUUAAAAUACAUCAAUCACAAUCCAUAAUUGCAUUGUACACGCUCUAAUGCAUGCCAAUUGCCAAAUUUAUGUAACAACCUUUUGCUACUUUUGUUUUAGUCGAGACUUGAGUGCACCAUUGUCUUAUUUCUUCUAAUCUUCUUUGGACGACAUUUUUUUAAAAUAUAAUAUAGAUUAGUUAAUAAAUAAUCUUGCAUGUUUUGGCUUAAUACUUGGUUUUUUUUCUCUUUUCCUGUGAUAAAUUAUUUCAACAGGACUUUGAACUUUUUUUUUUCUACAGCAAAAUUGGUAAUUCAUAAUGAAUAAUGAGUAAUAUACGAUAACUAUAUCAUAAUAGUUUCAAAAAAGAAAUAAGAAUUAAAAAAAAUAUUUUGAAUUUAAAUAUAAAAAGUUUGAAUUUGACUGAUUAGAUUUUAAUUCAGAAAUUGAAUAUUUAAUAUGUAAUAUACAGAUUUGGGAUUUAAAUCUUAACUACCACAUUUUUUAAACAUAUAUAAUUUUAAUUAUAUUAAGAAAUUUCACUCUAGAGAUAGGAAAAACGUAAAAUUCCAAAUUCCAAUCAAGCCAAUAGCUAUUUAACUAAAAACAAAUAAAUUAUAUAUAUAUAUAUAUGAAAAAAAAAGUGCUUAUAACAAAGGAUAUGAAUUAAUGAUGCCAACCAUAUGGCAAGAAACAAUGAGAUUGAAAUUGCCGAAAGGAGUGGAAAGCACAUAAUAAGAUUAUAUUAUACAAUUUUAAUUAAAAUAUAGAAAAAUACCAUAGCUGGUCAAUAAGAGUACUGAUUGGCCCUACACUUUCAUGAAAGCACGUUCAUCAAUAGCCCCCCGCAAAGGGGAAAUAAAUAAAAGAAACUAACAUCAUUAAAUAACAAAUAAAAUAAAAUAAAAAGCAAUAUAUAUAUAUAUAUAUAUAUAUAUAUUAAAGCAACAUGGAUAAUAGUGGUCCAACCGUAACCAACAUUUGGAAAUUUGGCCAAGUAUUAAGAAGCAUUUUUUCAUAAUUAUUACAUAUUCUCUUCAUCUUCUUCUUCUUCUUCUCAUAUAAUAAUUGCUUUCUCCUUGACAUUUACUCUCCAACCAGUAGAGAAAUAUGGGAAAGUCAGGCACAAGGUUACCAAGCUUUUGCCUCAAUAGAAUUAAGCCUCAUGUUAAAAUUGUUCGUUCACCGCCCAUACAAUCCAAGCCUAAUAUUAACAGUCUUAAUUCAUCUUCUACAAGUACUAAAAAUGAUCAGAAGAUUGAGAAUCCAGAAGAAGAGAAAUCUAGUGGAGGAGUGAUCAAACCGUUGAAUGUUAUUGGAAGGAAGAUCAUGAUUGUGGUUGAUUCAAGUUUUGAAGCUAAAGGAGCUUUGCUUUGGGCACUUUCUCAUACUGUUCAAAGUCAUGAUCUUCUCGUUCUUCUCCAUGUAACUAAAGCAUCUAAACAAGGUUUGUUUUUGUUUUUAUUAGUUAAUUUCUUUUUCAAUUGUAUUAUAUAUUUUCUGAUUAUUCAGAGAAAUUUUCUUGAAACAGCCACAAUUGCAAUUGAAGAGUCUAGCAGGGAGCAGAGAGCUCCUCCGAGGGCUUAUGAACUUGUAAAUUCCUUGAAGAACAUGUGCCAAUUAAGGAGACCUGAAGUGGGUAGCUAUUGCUGCAUUUAUUUAUUUUGGGUAGAUAUAAGAUUUUAUUAUGUAGAUGUGUAAGAAAUAUAAGUUUUAAUUAAUCUGCAGAUACAAAUAGAGAUUUCAGUUGUAGAAGGAAAGGAGAAAGGGCCAUUAAUAGUGGAAGAAGCUAAAAGACAAGGAGUGGCACUUCUGGUUCUAGGGCAAAAGAAGAGAUCGAUGACAUGGAGAUUGAUAAUGAUGUGGGCAAGCAAUAAGGUAACAGGUGGAGGAGUUGUAGAAUACUGCAUCCAAAAUGCUGAUUGUAUGGCCAUUGCAGUUAGAAGAAGGAGCAAAAAAGGUGGAGGCUAUUUGAUCACCACUAAGCGUCAUAAAGAUUUCUGGCUCUUAGCUUAAUUAAUUAAUUUAAUUAAUGUCUAAUUAUUUUAUUUCUUUUCUUUUCUUUUUAUUAAUAUAUGUACACUUUUUUCCCUGGUCUUGAUGUCCUGUGGAUUGCUAUUUGUUUAUUUUUUAAUUUGUAAACAUUGCUUUUGUAAAUGAUAAAGUGUAAUAAUACAUGAAAAGGGCAUUGGGGUGUGAACUAAAUGAAGAAAAAAGGCAUGAUAGGUCAUUAUUUAGGGCAUUUACUGUUGAGGGAGAGAGACAAAGGGGUCCCUUUAGGGUCUCUUCCGUAAGCUACAAUGGCUGAGAAAGGCACAUGGCUCUUCUUUUAACUUUUUCUUGAUGAUAUGACCUAACUCGGUUAAGACUAUAAAGAAGUACUGACGGAGGAAGAUAUCAUCAAAAUAAGGUAUAGCAUUAAAAUAAGUUACAGUAAAAUAUAGUAUGAUAAAUGACUUUUUGGUAUUUGUACGGAAGAUACAGUAAAUGAAAAUUUAAUCAAGUUGUUUUGUUUGGUUUGACAGUAGAUGAAGAUAGUGUUAAAUAUAAAUAUUAUAAAAAUAUUUUUGUCAUGGAAGAUUUAUAAAUAUGAUUAUAGAUAAUUUUAGAAGUUAAAUUUUUUAACUAUGCUUAAAUCUCAAUUCAGAAUGUUGAAGAUUGAGUUAUUUAGACAUGUUUUCAACCUCUCAAAUAACUUUUAAAUAUUAUAUUCUCUCUAACUCUCUUUCCAAAUAACUAAAUAAUUUGCCUUACUUUACUUUCCAAAACUAACAAGUAACUUCCAUCCAAACAAUUAAGGUUCUGCAAUUUAGAAUAAGGACACUUUCGUAAAUAUCCAACGGGCAGCAAUAUGUAAUUGACUUCUUUAUAUAUAUAUAUAUAUAUAUAUAUAUAUAUGAUUACACCGCUGUGUUAAAUUUAAUGAUUCUUUACAUUUUAUAAAAAUUAAAAAAAUGAUUGAAUCGCCUUAAUUCUAGUAGAAACAAAACACUUCAUCUUCCAUUUUAUUUGUAUGUUUUGACAAAAUAUGAAUAUUAAGAAUUUAGUUAAUAAAAAUUAUUUUUUAUUUUGUUUACUUUUAACUUAUUAAGGUAUUAAUAGAAUUUUUUCAUUUAAUUAAUAAUUAUAAAGGUCAUCACGGAAAAAAUAAUUAUUUAUAUGUAUAUAUUUACAAUCCUUAUAAACAUUUUGGGAUAUCCAAAAAAGAACUAACAAGGAAAUAAAAUGAGACAUAAUUAGUAGUAAUUAACUAAAUUAUGCUUUUAAUAUAUACUCAUUUAAUUGAAAAAAUUUUUAAUAUAGCUAUUUAUGCUAUUCAAUUUUUUAUGAUACGUAAAUAAAAAAAUAAAAAAUUUAGCAUAAGAAUAAUAAUUUAAGUGACAAUUUUUCAGGAUUUUAGAGUUCCAAGAUUUUAGAUUUUAUGAUUUCAUUAGGAUUUUUUGUUUUUUGAGUUCAUUAGGAUUUAGAAUAUAUACAAAUUUUAUGAUUUGAUUAACAUCUAAAGCUUAAUGUAAUUUUAUUAUUUUUAAUUAUAUCCAUAGGUCACGACUCAAGAGUAUAAUAAUGAAUACGAACCAAUGUAAUAAAUAACCACCACACGAACUGAAUUACUAGGGUAGCGGAAGACGCCCCAGUACUGGCAGUAAUCAUUCACAGUCGGUCCAAGAGAGGAUAUCUUUGGGCCUGAAAUUAAAAGCUAUAGCCCAUGUGGUUGUCCAUUAUUCCUCUUGAUAGGUCUACUUGUAAUAUUUUUUUUUUAGGGACCUACUUGUAAUAAUUCAGGUUAGGUCCUACAUAUAUAAUAAUUAACAUCAUGACCAGGCAUUUAUAGAUCUUUUGCUACAUGAAAUUGAGUAAAAUGGAGAAGAGGGCAGCCAGAUUUUGCAAGGACGAGCUGCACUGUACUUAUUCUUUCUUCUUCCUGCUUGACAAGAAAUUAAAAACUCAAGAAUUCUAGAAUUAUUUUUAUAUCAACAUGCAGAACAUUACUUUAUACAAACGAGAAUCCUAAAGCUGAGACACAGAAAUUAACAGAUUGAAAUAAGCAUAAUUCCUUUAUUUCAUCCAAUAACACAUCUUAUUGAUUACUAAUUACUUGCCACGAAGACUACGAAAAUAAGCGGCAGGAUCUUUAUCAAAAUCUUCCCUGGGGAUUCGAAAAUCUUUUCCUGGAGCUUUCAUGGUCUUUCUGGAUGACCCAGAGGAUGCCUGUGAUACAAUUCUAGCUAUCACAUAUGCAAUCGCAGCAAUCACUGCUACUGCACUUAAAAACACACCUAUUCCAGAACCCUCAUUCUUUCCAGACAUUUUUUUUUUCUUCCCUUAUGUCUUUCUUUUUACGAUUACUUUGUGCCAAGGAAGAGAGAGCAGAUUGGACAUUUUAUAGUGUAAAGCUAACCCUGGAAUUAGAUACCUAAAAUGUUAGUGGUGGUGCCCGCUGGCGGUACCACUCAAGGUUGAGACCCACGCUUUUGUUUUGAAAAAAAGGAGAGAAAACGCGUUUUGCUUUUAUAGAAGAGGAUUUGCUUCAUCUGCACGCACUAACAAAAAGGAGAGCAAAGAACUCGUAUGUAGAGGUAAGGAUUUUCUAUAAUAGACAGAGAAAAAUAAUGAAAAAAUUAUUUUUAUGUAUUUUUGUAAGACAUUUUGAGUGUUAUUAUUUUUGUAUUCUCUUUGUAAUAUUAUUAUUUUUAAUAGUGGAAGAAUCGUUCGGAGUUUGUCCAUGGACGUAGCCCUAAAUAGUUAAAGGUAAAUCACUUAAAUUUCUGUGUGUUACAAUUUUAAUUUUUCACUGAUUAUUUUCGUAAUUUUAUCACCGGGGCCUAAGGUAAAAUGGGAUAAUGUUAUUUAAUGACGUCUUGUGGUACCGAUAAUGUUCUGGGAAUUACAGUCAUUUAUUUCUUGUCUUUUUAUUUGAAAACAUUUGUAUCCAUUGAUUUAAUUUUGACUCAAUUUUAUUCCUUAUCAGAUCAGAUCAAAAGCAGAUGCUGCUUAUAGUGCGUUGUAGGAACUUGAUGCAACUUCCUGUCGCUUGGGUUGACGACUUGGCGUGCGAGCGUCAGCUAUUAAUGAAAUAAGAAUUUUCGAAUGUGAUGAUUUGAUUUCCCAAUAAACUAUCUUUUGGGAAUACGAUUUUUCAUUAAAUAAUUACAUUGGUACCGAAUGAUUUCAUUAAAUAAGAGCAAAUCAAGUCAAAAGCAGAUAGUCUUUUGUAAAAUCCCAUUUAUGACUCGACAAUUCCCAGGUUGCUAUUUUUACACUAUAAAAUCACCUGCCCGGUCUUUCUUGCUUGUUAACAAAGCUAACAGAUAGUAUAAACAAAUUUAUCGAAAAUGUCAAGCAAAAACCAAGGUUCUGGUUGCGGAUCUGGAAAGGGAGCGCCUCAGGGUGCUUCAAAGGGCACUGGGAACACAUGUUCUGCGUCUAAGUCUGGCAAUGAUACAAUGAAAGCUCCAGGCCAAGAUUUUCAGAUUUCUAGGAGUGCCUUUGAAAAGGAUCCUGCAGGUUAUUUUAGGGAGAAUCGUGAAAAGAAAUGAAGAACGUAUCCAAUAUUAUAGUAUAUAUAUAUCUAAAUAAAUUAGGGAAUGGAUUAAUAUAAAUGAUGCUUGUUGGAUGUUGCUGUGGGUUGUUUGUAUCUAUUUGGUGAAAUGAAAUUUGGAUUCUGGUUGUUUUAGUAAUUCUGUAUUCUUUUUGCCUUUCUGUCUCUUUUUACUUAUUCAGAAUUAUAAUUUUAUUUUUGAUUAUGUUUAAAUUAUUCUAAAUAUAGUUGCAAGAUCUAAAUGCAAUAUGAAUAAAAUGAUAGUAAAUUAAUAAAUCUAAAAUAGUUCUUUCAAAAUGAAGAGAUCAAAUUAACCAGUAGAAAAAUAUUUUUAUGUUUUAGAUAAAAACCUCAUACAAAAUGAGUGGAUUUGAAAAGUAGAUUGAAGUUAUUAAUGAAUUUUUAAAAAAUUAUAAAAUAAAUAAAUAUAAGAUGGGCCAGUUAAUUAUUUUGGGCUAUGAACUUGAUUUUUACUGUUGGCCCUGUCAGUAAGUUGCUUGAUUAGGAAAAGCAAUUUGAAUUUUUAUUAAAAAAUUAAUAGGUUUGGGUUGGAUUUGGAUUUAUUGAUGGGUUUGAAUUUAGAUUUACCAUGUUCAUGACAUUAUCCUUUUAACCCAAUUAUAUCGUGAAAAUAAUCGUGUGUUAAUGACAUUAAUAGUAAUAAACAAAAGUAAAUAAAUUAUGCUAUGAGUUUUAUUUUUAUCAAAGUAACUUCCCUCGCUCACCCAUGGGAAGUGGACUUCCUUAGCUAAAAAAUUUCACAUUCUCUAUUUUAUCGGUUAAAUACAUAAUUUAAUUUUUGAAGUUUAAUAAAAAAAACUUUGUGGUACCAUUAAUUUUAAAAUCAAUCUUGUAGUAUCCUCAAUUUCUCUUUUUGUAAUAAUCUCACUAUUUAUUACGUUAAAAACAAUAGAUUUUUAAGUUUUUUGGCUUUCAUAUGCAAAAUAUGGAUCGGAUGUGUUGUGAAUAUAAAUUUAAAAUAAUAAUUUUACAUUUUUCAAUUAUCCGAUAAGUAUUUAAUUGAUUUAAUUUUAUAAGUUGAAGUGAAAAUUGAAAAUGUCAUAAGAUUUUGGUAAGAAGUACAGAAAUAAAUUUAUAUAUUGAUCCUUAUUUGGCGGUUUUAUGCUUUCAAUGCACAUGUGUCCAUCCAUGUGAAUACAAUUUCUUCUUUUUACUUUGAUCUUAUUUGUACUUCGAAUUCAGCAAUGCUCUUUUCUUAUUAGUUAUAUUUUUUUAAAGGAAUUAUUACUCUUAUUUAGUUAUAGUUACAUUGUCAAAUCCAUUUCAACUCUGACAGGGAACUCAUGUCUUCUUGUCUUGCACUAUCCUUAGAUUUGUUGUAGUUAAAAAAAUAAGCAAAAUAUUAACUCUACACUAAACAAUUUAAUAGUGACAAUUAGCACAAAUAAGGUUAUUUUUGUCCAAAUGACUAUUUGCGAUUUGGGGAAAAAAACAAAUUUAAAGAGAAAAUGUAACAAGAUUUUCUCUCUUUUUUCUCUCGUUUUGUAAUUCUAAUUUUAGUUUUGAGCUGCUAUUAUUUAUCAGCGGUAAUCCUUACCUCCUACUUUCUACUAUCUUUUUUGCUUCACCUUCUUUUGCUUUUAACCUUAUUUUGCUUGAAUAAACUCAGAGCUGUUUUUUCUAUAACAUUCUUUUUUUUUUUUUUUCGGUUGUCUCCAUAUUUGAGUUUUUUUAUCUUAUAUUUGAGUUUUUUUAUCAUUUCUUUGUGACGGUUUAUUACUAAAUAAAACUAUGAUAUGUCUUGUGUUUUAACAAUUUAAAUUACAGAAUAUGAUUCCAGUGAUGAUCACAAGCGUAGAGAUGAUGCUUGGAAGGUGAAGGCAAUAUGAAAAAAAGGAGAUUGAUGUAUGGAAAGAAUUCAAGCAAUUAACAUCUGAUGUAAUUUCCAGGACAGCAUUUGGAAGCAGAUAUUUGGAAGCACAGGAUAUUUUUGACAUGAUAAUGGAGAUUCUUAUUCUUGCUUCACAGAAUAGUUUUGGAGUCGGAAUACCUUUAAUAAAGUAAGAUUCUUUUUCUUCUCCUUUCGAUAAUUAUUUUAUAUGCAGAAAUGUUUGAGUUAAAGAUGUCUGCUUCCACUAUGGCAGGAAAUUUAUAAAAACAAAGGAUGAUAUCAAAUCAGAUAAACUUGAGCGAAGGUUACGAUAAUCCAUCUUAAAGAUGAUAAGGAAGAGGGAGGAGGAAGCAAAUAUGGGUGAACCCGAUAGCCAUGGAAGUGAUUUUCUUGGAGUGCUCCUUAAGGCAAACCAGGAUCCAAAUAAGAGCAAGAAAAUAUCCAUAAACGACAUAGUUGAUGAGUACAAAACAUUUUAUAUUACUGGACAAGAAACAACUAAUGCUGCACUUAAUUGGACUAUUUUUCUUUUAGCAAUUCACAUAGUCAGAGAAAUUUUCUUGAAACAGCCAAAAUUGCAAUUGAAUAGUCUAGCAAGGAGCAGAGAGCUCCUCCAAGGGCUUAUGAACUUGUAAAUUCCUUGAAGAACAUGUUCCAAUUAAGGAGACCUGAGGUGGGUAGCUAUUGCUGCAUUUGUUUAUUUUGGGUACAUAUAAGAUUUUAUAAUGUAGAUGUAUAAGAAAUAUAAGUUUUAAUUAAUCUGCAGAUACAAAUAGAGAUUGCAGUUGUAGAAGGAAAGGAGAAAGGGCCAUUAAUAGUGGAAGAAGCUAAAAGGCAAGGAGUGGAACUUCUGGUUCUAGGGCAAAAGAAGAGAUCGAUGACAUGGAGAUUGAUAAUGAUGUGGGCAAGCAAUAAGGUAACAGGUGGAGGAGUUGUAGAAUACUGCAUCCAAAAUGCUGAUUGUAUGGCCAUUGCAGUUAGAAGAAGAAGCAAAAAAGGUGGAGGCUAUUUGAUCACCACUAAGCGUCACAAAGAUUUCUGGCUCUUAGCUUAAUUAAUUAAUUUAAUUAAUGUCUAAUUAUUUUAUUUCUUUUCUUUUCUUUUUAUUAAUAUAUGUACACUUUUUUCCCUGGUCUUGAUGUCCUGUGGAUUGCUUUUUUUUUUUUCUAUUAUUAUUAUUUAAUUUGUAAACAUUGCUUUUGUAAAUGAUAAAGUGUAAUAAUAAGUGAAAGGGGCAUUGGGGUGUGAACUAAAUAAAGAAAAAAGGCAUGAUAGGUCAUUAUUUAGGGCAUUUACUGUUGAGGGAGAGAGACAAAGGGGUCCCUUUAGGCCUUUUGGGUCUCUUCCGUAAGCUACAAUGCCUGAGGAAGGCACAUGGCUCUUCCUUUAACUUUUUGUUGACGCCAGACGAAGAUAGUGUUAAAUUUAAUAUUACGAAAAUAUUUUUGUUAUUAAAGAUUUAUAAAUAUAAUUAUGAAUAAUUUUGAAAAUUAAAAUUUUUAACUAUGUUUAAAUAUUAAUUUGGAGCGUUGAAGACUAGGGUAUUUAGACGGGCUUUUAACCCCUCAAAUAACUUUUAAAAACGCUUUCUCAAAUUCUUUUCCCAAAAGACUAAAUAACCAUCUUCUGCCUUACUUUACUUUCCAAAUCUAUCAAGUAACUCCAUCCAAAUAAUCUGUUAAGGUUCUGCAAUUUAUAAUGAAGGACACUUCCGUAAAUAUCCAACAGGCAGCUACAUGUAAUUGACUUCUAUUUUUUUUCAUAUGGUUAUUACACCGUUGUGUUAAAGUCAACGGUUCUUUACAUUUUAUAAAAAUUAAGAAAAUGAUUGAAUCACAUUAAUUUUAGCAGAAAUAAAAUAUUUUAUCUGUCUCAUUUUAUUUGUAUGAUUUGAUAAAAUACGCAUAUUAAAAAUUUAGUCAAUAAAUUUUAUUUUAUAUUUUAUUUACUUAUAACUUUUUAAGGCAUUAAUAGUACUUUUUCGUUUAAUCAAUAAUCAUAAAGAUUAUCAAAAAAAAAAAAAAAUUUACAUACAUAAAUUUACAAAAAAAAAAAAAAUAAUAAACAAACAAAAUGGGAUGGAAGAAAUAGUAAUUAACUAAAUUAUGCUUUUAAUAAACACUGAUUUACUUGAAAAAAAUUUUAAUAUAGCUAUUUAUGCUAUUCAAUUUUUUACGAUACGCAAAUAAAAAAAUAAAAAAAUUAUCAAAUUUAACAUAAGAAUAAUAAUUUAAGUUACUAUUUUCCAGGAUUUUAGAGUUCAAGAUUUUAGAUUUUAUGAUUUCAUUAGGAUUUUUUGUUUUUUGAGCUCAUUAGGAUUUAGAAUAUAUACAAAUUUUAUGAUUUAAUUAACAUCUAAAGCUUAAUGUAAUUUUAUUAUUUUUAAUUAUAUCCAUCCGUCAGGACUCGAGUAUAAUAAUGAAUACGAACCCACGUAAUAAAUAACCACCGCACGAACUGAAUUAAUAGGGCAGCGGAAGACGCCCCAGUACUGGCAGUAAUCAUUCACAGUCGGUCCAAUAGAGGAUAUCUUUGGGCCUGAAAUUAAAGGCUAAAGCCCAUGUGAUGGUCCAUUAUUCCUUUUGAUAGGCCUACUUGUAAUAAUUUUUUUUGAGGGACCUACUUGUAAUAAUUCAGGUUAGGUCCUACAUAUAUAAUAAUUAACAUCAUGCCCAGACAUCUAUAGAUCUUUUGCCACACGAAAUUGAGUGAAAUGGAGAAGAAGAGGGCAACCAGAUUUUACAAGGACAAGCAGCACUGUACUUACUUUUUCUUCUUUUUGUUUCUGCUUGACAAGAAAUUAAAAACACAAGAAUUCUAGAAUUAUAUUUUAUAUGAACACGCAGAACAUUACCUUAAUACAAACGAGAUUCCUAAAGCUGAGAGACAGAAGUUGACAGAUUGAAAUAAGCAUAAUUACUUCAUUUCAUCCAACAACACAUCUUAUUGAUUACUAAUUACUUGCCACGAUUAUUACGAAAAUAAGCGGCAGGAUCUUUCUCAAAUUCAUCCCUGAAGAUUCGACCAUCUUUUCCUGGAGCUUUCAUGGUCUUUCUGGAUGACCCAGAGGACGGCUUUGAUACAAUUUCAGCUAUCCCAUAUGCAAUCGCAGCAACCCCUACUACUGCACCUAAUAACAUACCUAAUCCAGAACCCUCAUUCUUUCCAGACAUUUUUUUUCUUCCCUUAUGUCUUUCUUUUUACGAUUACUUGGUGCCAAGAAAGAGAGAGCAGAUUGGACAUUUUAUAGUGUAAAGCUAACCCUGGAAUUAGAGCCCUAAAAUGGGAUAAUGUUAUUUAAUGAAGUCUUAUGGUACCGAUAAUGGUCUUGUUGUGGGUCCCUCCGACAUGUG